UACUCCUCCAGUCUCCAUAUUUUUAAUUUGAGCUUGUACUCCGAAUAGUUGAGUUGGGGUGACACCAAUUCCAUAUCCCUUUACUCGGCCAUACUUCCAAUGACUUCAGUAAAUACUUCAUUUUCAGUUUUUGCUUCCUUUUCUAUUAACUUCGUAAUAUUAUCCUGUAUUAAAGAUAAAUUGAGAACUAACUAUUAAUGUAUAUAAAGUGAAACUACACACAAAUUAUAAGAGUUUCAAUUGGAAUAAAGAUCAUAUACUUUCACUAUGAAAAAUAAGUCUAUACACUUAUUUGGUGUACAUACCAAAACCUCUUGAAAACUCUCAUCAUAUGUCUCAUUCUUACGUUUGUGGGCUAAUGCAAAAAACUUGACGCGUCCCGACUCUCUUACAUUUUCUUUUUCCUGUUAUUAAUUGUACAAACAAGAAUUUUAAUAAAAAAAUAUAUAUUACAAAUAAAACAAUCGUAUCAACUAUCUAUAUGACAAAUUAAGAAAACAAAUUGACAUACAAAUUGAUCUCUUUUCCGAGCAAAACUCAUAGAACCAGUUGUAUGAGGAGUAAUAUGCUUGGCACGCGCUACCUUUCCAAUUUGAGAGUAUGACUAACAAGACAAAAUUGUUAAUCAAAUUAAAAAAAAUAUGAUUAACUUGCAUCAUAAAAAUAAUUGAAAGAACAAGAAUAUUAAAAAAAAAUGCCAUGAAAUGAGGUACAACCUUGCUUUUCUCCGAGAACCAAUAACGAACAAGGUCUAUCCAUUGUUGGGAUGUAAAUCCACUUGAUACAUUACUUGCAACUUCUUGCUCCGUGUAAUUAUCUAUCAUAUUUUUUCUUUUAAGUUCACACUUGAAGUCCUUCCAUUUUUUAUUUAGUGACUUCAAAACCCACUUCUCAAUGUUGCCAUUGGAAGGAAGCAAAAACUUACUCUGCAUAAAUUGAAAAAAAAAAUCAUAAAUAUCAACAAUUGAAAUUCUGCUCUACAUAUGUAUCAGCAACUGAAAAAAAAGAAUAAGAGAUUAAUGGAGAUAAUUGAUUGAGCUACCUUAGUUGUGACCAUGGGGAUCAAAGGCCUAAAGUAGUGCACUAAUUAAUUAAAAGGCCUAUAGGAGUACUGUUGUGAGGGCCAAUUAAAAAAUGUGUAGUACUGAGGGAAUGUUGUGAGGGCCAAUUAAAAAAGGUGCACUAUGUUUUUGAAAGUACGGAGUCUUUCAUACUUUCAGGUCGUUUUCGAUGUUGCGACUUUCGAAUCGUCGAUCGGCUCCAUUAAACUUGAUCUAGAGUAUUUGAAGUAAUUAGAAAAUAAAUUUUAUGAUUUUUCGAUAUCAUUUGCCUAGUAAUCGAAGGGGCUCAAAAUCAAUAAUUUUAAUAGUCGUAGUGAGCCGUUUGCAAGUUUAACGGUGUAGAAAUAUUCAAAUCACGUAAAAUUUUGAUAGAAAAUUUUUUAUAUUAUAUAAAAUAAGAUCAAUAUCUUUAAUAUAAAAUUUUAAUGUCAUAUUAUCAUGUCUUGUAAGAUUUUUAUUUUCAGCCGUUGAUUUUGAGCCCCUUCGUUCACUAGGCAAAUAAUAUCGAAAAAUAGCAUAAUUUAUUUUCUAGAUACUUCAAAUACUCUAGAUCAAGUUUAACGGAGCCGAUCNNNNNNNNNNNNNNNNNNNNNNNNNNNNNNNNNNNNNNNNNNNNNNNNNNNNNNNNNNNNNNNNNNNNNNNNNNNNNNNNNNNNNNNNNNNNNNNNNNNNNNNNNNNNNNNNNNNNNNNNNNNNNNNNNNNNNNNNNNNNNNNNNNNNNNNNNNNNNNNNNNNNNNNNNNNNNNNNNNNNNNNNNNNNNNNNNNNNNNNNNNNNNNNNNNNNNNNNNNNNNNNNNNNNNNNNNNNNNNNNNNNNNNNNNNNNNNNNNNNNNNNNNNNNNNNNNNNNNNNNNNNNNNNNNNNNNNNNNNNNNNNNNNNNNNNNNNNNNNNNNNNNNNNNNNNNNNNNNNNNNNNNNNNNNNNNNNNNNNNNNNNNNNNNNNNNNNNNNNNNNNNNNNNNNNNNNNNNNNNNNNNNNNNNNNNNNNNNNNNNNNNNNNNNNNNNNNNNNNNNNNNNNNNNNNNNNNNNNNNNNNNNNNNNNNNNNNNNNNNNNNNNNNNNNNNNNNNNNNNNNNNNNNNNNNNNNNNNNNNNNNNNNNNNNNNNNNNNNNNNNNNNNNNNNNNNNNNNNNNNNNNNNNNNNNNNNNNNNNNNNNNNNNNNNNNNNNNNNAUGUCGAAAAGAUUUGAAAUUUGAUUUCUAAACACUUCAAGUGGUAUAGAUCAUGUUCAACGGAGCCGAUCGUCAAUUUGGAAGCUCUAUCAUCGAAAACAACUCAAUAGUAAAACGCACCGUUUACUAUCGAGAGUAUUCUAGCUCAACUCUAUAUAUAUAUAUUCAUGUAUUAGGUAGUUUGGGUUUUGGUCCAAAAUGGCCAAGGUUGGGCCUCUCUUGGCUUGUGCUACUUUACACAGGCCCAACAAAUGAUACUUUGAUUUCAAAGUUUGAACGCAUCGUUUAAUUUUACUGGUUUAGUUAGUAUAUUUUCUGCAAUUUACACAAUUAGAAAUUCACUAAAGUAAACACUUAACUUAAACUUUGAAUUCAAAGUGCUAUUAUCUGAUUCAAAUCAAGCAAAUAGAAAGAUUAGAUAGUUAAAUCGAAAUUUGAAAGGUCGGGUAAUCAGUUCAAAAUAAUUCAUAAUUCAGAUAAGUUUUAUACGUUUUUAUCUAAAUUGUAAAUAUUUUUCCUUUUUUACGUUGUCUCCAACUGCAUGCAUUAUUAUCUACACUAUAUUUUUAAUCACAUCGAACCAAACAACCCAUAAUAUAUUAUAUAUACCAACAAAGUAUAAAUACAUAUAGGAAGCAACAAACCAAACAGCCCCUAAUAGCUAGCAGAGUACAAAUACAUGUAACAACACUACAACAGAAUUAGGUUAUAGGAACACAUGUUUGGGACACUUUUGAAUAAGUGUCCCAUUUAUACUAAAACUUAAAAAAAAUAUCUACUAAUGCCUAAAUAUAAAGCCCAAUCCAACCAAGAAUAAAAGAUUACUCUACUCAACCCACCACACCCAGUUCAUUUGACCCAAUUAUAAACAGAAAAGAGAAAAAAAAAAAGGAAAAAUCAAUUACCAUCUUUUCUUCUCUCUUCACUCAAUCCACUGAAAUUCUAAACGAAGAGCCUUUCCUGUCGUCCUCCUCCGCCACGAUAGCCAACGAGAUAGAGUUUCGGCGGUUGCUAAAUGCUUAAAUAAGUAUUGGUAAAUUAGCAGCACUCUUUUAGGUUAUAGCGACACUCUUUAACUGUCACUAUAUACCUAGCGACCCCACAUAUAGCAACACUUUUUAAAAGUGUCGGUAAUUUUAGCUAGCAGCACCUUUUUGAUAUGUACUUACAUUUAAAAGUGUCGCUGUAGACCAUUUUUAUUGUAGUGCAAGCACCAAACUAAAAACAGAAUUAAUACUUCUCAUACAUGGCAAGCCAAAACAAGCAUAACACAACUAAAAGGGGUUUGCAUAAAUCGACUCUAAAACCCUUUUACGUACUCUAAAAAGGUCGACUUGAUAGUGAACACUAGUGGAAAAUAGGAUCACCACGCAAGACAAAGGCAUAUUAUAAGCAAAUGAAAAAUACUCCACCCCUUUUCUUUUUGGUCUUUCUUGCUCCCGAUGCAAGACCCGUCGUGGGGUUCACUCUUCGGCUUCGGCGGCGGCAGUGGCAGCGGCGACGACAGCAGGCGUGCCAUGCAGCGAUGGUGUCUUGCUUAGGAGGCUCGGGCGGCUCGGGCAGUGGUCGCAGAGGCAGCAGUACUGGAGGCUUGCGAUGAUGGCAGCGUCGGACGUUACGUGGAAAACGCAGCGGACCCGGUGGCAGAGAGCUUCUCCCUGUCAACUAUAUAUAUGUAGAGCUAGAUUGGUAUACAAUCGGUAGCACGAAGGCCUACGUGCUAUCAAAUUGUUUUCAAUAAUGCGGCUUUCAAAUCAACAAUCGCUUGUUAGUGAAGUCUAAAAAUAAAGAGCAAUGCUCCUAUGCACCAAAAAGAUCUCGGCCCUGAAAUUUUUAAAAAUGAAUGGUGGAAAUGUCAUUUAGUUAAUAGGGUAACUGGCUUUUGUUGCCAUAGGUACCAGUCAUCCUCCUACCAAGGGUAAAUUAUUUCCUCAUAUGUAAAAUUAGUAUGAAGGGUUUUUUUUAUAAAUUUCCAUUUUCAUUCCCGUAAUGCUCUUCGAGUAAUUUGGUAAGAUAUCCCAUUUUAUUCUUAGAAACUUUUCACCCACAGAUAUUUUCCUCGAAGCUAUUUUACCUUUUUUUUCUUUGUUGAGAGAGAAAUCCAUGUCCAAUCUAUAUUUAAAUCUAAAUUUAAAAUUUAAUUUUAAUCAAUAUUUUUAAACUUUAAUGUUGUUUUUACUAUCGAAUGAACAAUUUGAAUUUAAUUUUAAAAAUAGAAGCCUUUAAUUUAAAUAAAUAAUAAAAAUUAUGUUUAUAAAUACAACAUAAUUUACAAUUUAAAAUAAGUUAAUAUAUUUGAAAUUUCGUGUCGUUUUAAUAUCAAAUUAACAAUUUGAAUUGAAAUAUACUAUUCAUUUAAACAUAAAUUUUUUCGUUCUGAAAAUUAAAAUUAAAAUUAAAUUUGAAUUUAAUGUACACAAUUAUAAAGUUUAAAUAAAGGUUUAUUACUUAUCAAUAACAAUUUGAAUUUAAUUUUAAAAAUAGAAGCCUUUAAUUUAAAUAAAUAAUAAAAAUUAUGUUUAUAAAUACAACAUAAUUUACAAUUUAAAAUAAGUUAAUAUAUUUGAAAUUUCGUGUCGUUUUAAUAUCAAAUUAACAAUUUGAAUUGAAAUAUACUAUUCAUUUAAACAUAAAUUUUUCGUUCUAAAAAUUUAAAUUAAAAUUAAAUUUGAAUUUAAUGUACACAAUUAUAAGGUUUAAAUAAAUGUUUAUUACUUAUCAAAUUAGCAUUUUCUAAUUUGGUAAGUAACAAAAUUAAAUAAGGAAACAAAUAUUUGUAUAGGGUUAAUCAAAUUUGGUAAUUAGCUUGUAUUUGUUUUCCCAUAUUAUCCUUACGAAUGGUAACCAGUUGAGCAGGUAACUAUUAUGCAAAGUCAAUCUCGCCCCUAAAAUAUGAACGGCUAGAUUUAAUUUAGCCGGUGUAUUGAAGCAUUCCUCAAAAAUAAAAUUAUUUGGAAACUAAAUUUUAUAAUUUUUCGACAUUAUUUACCUAUCAAAUGUGUAGUCCAAAAAUAAAUGGCUGAAAAUAAAAAUCUGAUAAAAAAUGAUAAUAAAAAAUUUGAAUUUAAGAUCUGAGAUACUCAUCUUACUCUAGAUAGUGAAGAGAAUUUUUUAUAAAAAUUUCAUCAGAUUUGAAUUACUUUAUACCGUUAAAUUCACAAAAGCAUCACAUCGGCCAUUAAAAUUAUUAAUUUUGAGACCUUUUGAUUACUAGUCAAAUAAUGUUAAAAAAAUAUGAAAUUUGGUUUCUAAAUAUUUUCAAUAGCGUAGAUCAUGUCUAGCGGAACUGAUCGUCGAUUCGAAAGCCACAUUAUUGAAAACAAUUUUGUAGUACGAAGACUUCCGUGCUAUCGAUAAUAUAGCAGCCUAGCGCUCUCUCUCUCUCUCUCUAUAUAUAUAUAGAGAGUGAGUGAGAGAGAGAGAGAGUCUGGUUACUAUAUUUUCGAUAGUACUAAGUUUUUGAUACUAUCGAGUUUUCUACCAUUAGUCCUACUCUUUGAUCAUUUUCACCUGUUAGAUUGUACUAUUCAACUAACCACUCACUCAACCCUAGAAGACUAUCAUCAUCCUAAUCGGAGACCACUAUCAUCCUCAUCGCACAUCCUUUCAUCUAACGACCAAAAACUCGAUAGUACCAAACUGUGAUAUAUUGAACUUUAACAAAUUAGCAAGGUUACAGUAUAAAUUAUUGUUUGCUGAGUUGGAAACGUUUUGGCUCAGAAUAGACACAAAAACGACCUUUGAAACUCAAGAUUUAAUUGUUGAGAACUAAAGUUGAAAUACUUUAUUUUGAGGGGCUUCUUAGCAUUUUUGCAUUUAAGUUGGCGGAGUACACCGAGCUUCUUUGAUCCUUAUCUCUUUAUCUCUUUUAACAUAAGGUAGAGAGAGAAAGAUUUUGGUUGAGGAGGGAAAAAAAAAAAAAGGAAAGAAGAGGAGAGAAGAAGUUUGAUUUCGUGCUAGUGAGCAAGGGAGUCGAGCUUGCGCACGUGUUUUUGGUGUUUCCAUGUCGCGGUUAGUAUCACAAUAUUAUUAUUUCUCGUUUAGAUUUUUUUGAUAAAUUGUUUGGUAGAAAAUGAGAGUUAGAAACUGAUUUUUUUAUACGUUUUAGGAGCUGAUUUCGUGGCUGUCGUUCAGACUAGGAGAGCUGUAGCAUAUCAUCUAACUAUUUUGAUUGUCGUCCUGUUUUUUGGAUUUGUGAUAUAGGUGGGUUCCGUGUUGUUAAAAUUGACGGAUUAAUUUAUAUAUCCAUAUUAUAUUAUUUAACCUGUGAGAUGAAUUGUUGACAUAGUUGAGAUAAUAGUGACAGUUUAACAUCUACGAAUAGAGUAAAUUGAGACAUAAAUAUAUGUGAUAUUUUUCUAAAGGUCAAUAGACUGUUAUAGAUAGUGUAGACUAUAACUGUAUUUUCGACAGUAUGACAGUAUUAUCAUGAUCUGUUUGAUCAUCGCAUUUGACCACAGUCUGUAUGCUAUAUUGAGUUUGACAGUGAUACUAUACUCGGUUGGGGUAACGCCCCGCGAAUGCCACUCCGAAGGUUGGGUUAUGAGAUAUUAUUAUGGCAUGGGGCAGACAAUAGUUUGCGUGGUAGCGGACCACUAUAGGUGGGUGCUGGACACAAGGCGGCGUAGGCUAGACCUGACUGUUGAGUUGGUCAUUAUGAUUGGGCAUUAUUGCAGUAUUUUAUCUAGCCUCUAAUUGAUGCAUGCAAAAUACAAUUUACAAUUUCAGCAUAUUAUAGAGGCAUGAUAGUCGCAGUUUUUUUCAGCAAUUAUUCAUAUUAGUACUUGAUCUUUCAUAUUACUAAGUUAUUUACUAUUUUUGCCUCUUGUGGACCUAGUGGUGUAGACCGUCGGGGUUGAUGAUCGUACCCACUGGAAACUAUUGAUUAUAGUUCUCAUACCCUCUUAUUUAUUAUUUUAUUUUAUAGCUUUCAGUACCAGCAACUGAUCGAGAUAAGGGGAUUGCAGAUAGUUAGCAUCUUCUUUCUUGUGUGUGUAGUUGGACCACCUAUUAGUGAGCAGCUUGUAUAGUAUUUUGAUAUUUGGAGUGGUUAGAAAUGUUGUACCAUUUUAAGGACGGGUGCGGUGAUGAUUGUAGAUCGUUACUGUCACGCCCCGGGCUGCACAGUCCCCCGGGCACGCCGACAAAUCCGCCGUAUACAAGAGAAUUUCUCCGGUAUACGAAGCGUAGCUGAACCUGUAUAAACAUACAAUACUACAAGCAGUAGUAUAGAGCUGAAGUAAACUAUAAACAAGCAGGUAGAAAUAACAAACUCAAUAUACCUACAUCAGCCACGGAUACAAAAGAACACUACUCGCUCCAGCGAGUUCAACUGUAUGUACAAAAGCGCCCGAACAAAAACUGUCACUACCUGCAGCGGGAGUCCUCUAGCACUGUACUCGAAGGGUAGGCUCUAACUCGCCACGCCUUUCCCGCGGUCUGCCUCAGAAGGAGCAGCAGCCGAAACAGAAGGCCCUGCAACAUCGGUGGAAGAAAGAGGGCGUGAGAACUACUAUAAAAGCAAGUAGUCCUCAGUGGGUGCCGCCCUAAACAACAUCGGUCCACCCACUAAGUCUACAGGGUAAGCAAGAUAGAAGAAAAUGAAGCUGGAAACUCUCUACAGCUACAAGUCGCUAUGCUAUCAUGCCCAGAACUAACACCUAUAGACUCAAGUCAACCAGACCCAAUCCGAAGGGGACUGUGAACGCACCCGUCCCUGGGACUGUGAACGCACCCGUCCCGUGCCCGGUUGUGACUGCACAGCUACCCCCACUCUAAACCUCAGUGGAGAGCAAGUCCAACCUGCACUACCCGACACCGACGCGAAAGCACAAAGCCUAACUCCGGAGUGGCACUCGGGGGAGCUACCCAGCCGAGUAUGCAGCGUAGCUCUGUCGAGCUCAAUCAGGCCCUAACCAGCCAAACCCAAGUAACCAAAACCGACUUUGGGGCCCACCGCCUGCCCCGACGGCGCCCGACACCCCGUAACAGUCUACACUCAGCUAGUAUAAGCUCGGCGUCCCAGCACGAGCACAAACACAAGCUACACUAUCCUGGGUAUCCAUCGCACAAAGCCCACGACGAUACAAUGCAACACGGCUCCUAGAGCUAAAUCCGGCAGUGUAUGUAAAUGACGAUCAAUUCGGGGUUUUCUCCUAAGUCAAAUCCAAGUCCAACAAGUAUCAAUUAUCAUCACUCACUAAGCAUGCUCCCAAUUCAGGUUUUUAAUAUACUAAUCCAUGAAUUUGAGCUACCUCAUUUAGUGUUCAACGAACAAAGCAUACAAGUCGACUAAUAUGUACUUAGAGGCAAAAACCGAUGAACCCACCUCUCAAGCAACUCCUGGCAGCGAAGAAAGUGGCCCGGAUCCAAAUUGAUCCCUCGCUGGUCCGUCGAAGUCCCCGGUUCUCCUGCUGCGAAGAAGUAAACCCAAUUACACUCAAAAUCACGAAAUCUGCCCAGAAAACAGCAGCGAAGAAAACAUUAAAUCCGACCAAGCUAACCUUAUCCAAAUUCAGCAAACAAGGGUUCUGAAGCUUCGUCUCGAAGUCACGAAUCCAAUGGCCCAGGUUUCGCUGAAUUCCGACGCUCCUACGCAGAGAACGGGCCAGAAUACGAAACGUCGACGCUGGAACCUGCGAAACAGCAUCUCUGAAAUCUGCUCGGCAAACAGCAGCCUAGUAAAACUAGGGUUCGACAGGGCAAACCUGCUCGAAAAAUCGCGAUCUUGGGCUCAAAAUCUUCGUCUCGAAGUCGCGAAUCUAGCACACCAAAUUUCGUCGCAUUUCGACACUCCUACACAGAGAACUAGGUAAAACACGGCGGGUCGAUGCUGGAAUCAGCAAUCAGCACUUCAGAGUCUGCUCGGCAAACAGCAACUCAGUAAAAAAGAAUUUCGACAGAGAAAACCUUCUCCAAAUCGGGCGAGUAAGGAUCCUAUGGAUUCGUCUCGAAGUCUCGGUUCCAACGAAUCAAGUCGCGUCACGUUCCGAUGCUCCUGCGCGGAAUACGAGUCAAAACUCUGCGGGUGGACGCUGGAAUCAGCAGCAGCAGCAGUACAGUUCGAAAAUCGUAGAAGUUUAAAGCCAUAAAAGCGAUCUCAAGGAGCCACUCACCUCGACAAACCCUCCCUGCGAGCAGCACCUCGUCGAAAACUCGCUCGAUCCGCUCUGCGGCGCGUCGUCGACGAAGCUCGAGCUUCUCUUGAGCUCCUCCAACACUCUAGGUUGCUAAGGGAAGUAGAAGGAGAGGAAGAAGAAGCACAGCAGCAGCAGCAUGAAGAAGCUCCCCCCUCUCUCUCCUCUCUGCUCCAAGGUAAGGGUUAAAGGGGGGGGUGAUGUGACAAGAUGGCCAAAAAGUCAACUUGCACCCUGCUUCCACUUUGUACCAGUACAAACCCAGAUUUGUACCGGUACAGCUCAUUGAAAAUCUGCUAUUUCGCAGAUCUUCAAGAUACACGCUGCUCUCAAGUUCCCACAAAGCCCGUUUGGCGUCCACUUCGCGCCAACGCGACCCGGACUUGUCCCGACACUCUCCAGAGCUGUCGACAAGCCUCAGCUAAAAUUUCAGGUCUCUACAGUUACAGUGUUGUUAUAGUAUAUAGUUUUAUUUUAUUCUGAUAUCUAUUAUUGUUAGAUUUUAGUUAAUUUUGUUGAACAGGUUUUAUUGACACUUCGUAUGUAUAAGGUAUAUCCUUGUGCAUGUGGCGGGUCUGUUGACGUAAUUCGGACUUCCGCUGUAAUCCGAGGCGUGAUACAAACGCUUGGUACUAUCAAUAGUAUAGUAGUAUAAUUCUCUCUCUCUCUAUACAUAUGUAUUUGACUUUUUAAAUUAUAUAUAUAUUUUUAAAAACUUUCUUCUUCUUUUUCAUCUUCUUCUUCUGCUCCCUCAGCACCUUUUUUUUAUUUUUUUAUUUUUUUGGUUCUAGUCCCUCACAAUGUAAUUCAUAGAUGUGGAUGUGCUGGGUGUGGACACGUUUCUCCUCUCAAUAAAAAUUUAGAGAGCUCCAAGCCCAAUUCUUGAUGAUUGCAUUUAGAUUUCUUUAAAUCUAGAGUGAUCUCGAGAAAUUCAUGAGGGUGGCAUGGGAUUGUGAUCCGGAAUUCUAAAUUUUCUGGGAUCCUGUUGGAUGGGGAUGCAUAGAUUCUGUAGAGAGAGAGAAAGACAAAAAGAGCGAGAAAGAGAGAAGCCGCGCGAUUUGCCCUCUUCGAUUUUUUUUUUUUUUUUUUUUANGCGAGAAAGAGAGAAGCCGCGCGAUUUGCCCUCUUCGAUUUUUUUUUUUUUUUUUUUAAUGGCCAAGGUUGGGCCUUUCUUGCGUUGUGCUACUUUAGACAGGCCCAACAAUUGAUACUUUGAUUUCAAAGUUUGAACGCAUCGUUUAUUUUUACUGGUUCAGUUAAUCCAUUUUCUGUAAUUUACACAAUUAGAAAUUUACUAAAGUAAGCAGUUAACUUAAACUUUGAAUUCAAAGUGACUAUUAUCUGAUUCAAAUCAAGCAACUUGAAAGAUUAGAUAGUUAAAUCAAAAUUUGAAAGGUCGGGUAGUCAGUUCAAAAUAAUCCAUAAUUCAAAUAAGUUUUAUACGUUUUUAUCUAUAUUGUAAAUAUAUAUUUUUUUUUACGUUGUCUUCAACUGCAUGCAUUAUUAUCUACAUUGUGUUUUUAAUCACAUCGAACCAAACGACCCAUAAUAUAUACCAACAGAGUACAAAUACAUAUAGGAAGCAACAAACCAAACGGCCCCUAAUACCAGCAAAUUACAAAUACAUGUAGCAAGAACCAAACUAAAAGCAGAAAUACAUCUCGUACAGGGCAAGCCAAAACGAGCAUAACACAACUAAAAGGAUUUGGCAUAAAUCGACUCUAAAAUCCUUUUACGUACUCUAAAAGGUUGACCUGAUAGUGAACACUAGUGGAAAAUAGGUUUUAACACAUCACCAAGCAAGACAAAAGCAUAUUAUUUUUGAACGAAACACACAUCACCAUGCAAGACACAAAACACAACGAACAUCAGCUGAAGGAUGGGAAUAGAUGUCUUCCUUUCCUCAGCAUGAAGCAUGCUGCCUUUCUCACGACUUCCUGAUCAUUACAAAAAAUAAAAGUUUAGGGUUUGUUGGGAAGAGUUUCAGGUCAUGUAAAUACGUUUCGAGGGUUGUUUUGUACCUGCUUUUUUUUUUAUUUGUCCUUAGGUUUGUUCUUAUCCGGAGUUUUGUCGUUAUUUGGUUUUUCGUUCUUCAAGUUUGUUGCCUUCUUCCUGUUGCCAAAUUUAUCAGCUUAAUGAAUAAAACAAUAACAUGCUAACUUCCUCUCAAAAAAUAAAAUUACAAAAAUAAAAGCUUGUACGUACUCAGGUUAAUUUGCUCCAAGGAGGGGGAAAAUAGCCUAGAGUACCAAAAAUAAGAAUAUAUAUAUAUAUAUAUAUAUAUAUAUAUAUAUAUAUAUAUAUAUAUAUAUAAAUAGGCUGGAAUACUAUUAAUAGCACCAAUGACUUGGUGCUAUUAAGUUUUCUGCCAUUGGAUUAAAAUAUGUGCGGUUAGGAUGAUAUGAGUNAAAUACCCCCACGUGGUUUCACUUUUUCUCACGUUAGUACCCUGUGAUUUAAAGUGUAUCAAAUUAGUACUCUGUGGUUCUUCUCUUUUUAUUAUCCAUUUCACUAAUUUUUUUCGUUAAAUCAGUAACAAAGUUAAAAUUAAACGGUACUAAAGUGAAUAUUCGAUAAACCUAGGUAUAGUAUCUGAAGUUUUUUGUAUAUUACUUAACGAAAUAUUAACGGAGGAAAAAAAAAAUAGUGACAAAGUUAAAACUAAAGGGUACUAAUGUAAAUAUUCGAUAAAUUUAGGUAGGUUAUUUGAAAUUUUUUGUAUAUAAUUUAACAAAAUAUUAACAGUGGAGCCGGCGAAAAGAGAAAAAUGAAACCACAGAGUACUAAAUUGAUACACUUUACAUGGUACUAACGUGAGAAAGUGCGAAACCACAUGAUACCAAAUUAAUAUACUUCAACCUAUAGGGUACUAAAGUAAAAAGCGCAAAACCACAGGGGCGGUAUUUGAAAUUUUUCAUAUAUAUAUAUAUAUAUAUACAUAUAUAUAUAUAUAUAUAUAUAUAUAUGCACUAUUUUUAGGCCAUUACAGGGUCCUGUUUUGUCAUCAAAUUUUAAAAUGAUCUCCUCUACCUACAAGGCCAUUUAUUUAUUUUAUCAUAAGAAAAUGACUUAGUGGUCAUAUUUUACUGCACCAUUCUCUACCGAAUAAAUUGCACUAUUACCCCCUAAACUUUUGACGAAGUUUUAUUUUACCCUCAAGCUUCUAAAAUAGACAUUUAACACUCUAAACUCUAAUAUUUUAUUCAUGUUACCCUUCCGUCGGUUUACCAUCAAGCUCCGUUAAUCAAAAAUUGACAAAAGGAGUAAUAUGAAUGAAAUAUUAGAGUUUAAGAUGUUAAAUGCCUAUUUUAUAAAUUUGGGGGGUAAAGUGAAACUCCACCAAAAGUUUAGGAGGGUAACAAUAUAAUUUAGCCUAUUUUUUUUUAAAAAAAAUAAACCAUAGCACAAAUUACCCUAUAUUUUAUUGUAUAAAAGAAAAGAAAAAUAAAUUAGGGUGGCUUAAAAAUAAGAAAAGAGAGACACUAACUAGCUAGCUACAAUGUUCGAAUACACUACUCUCCCGAUGUACUUGCUAAUAUAGUUGAUUUUACAAUAAGUAUCUUCACUCGAAUAUAGAAAUUUUAAUUUUUAGUUAAUUCCCUAUAGUACUCAUCAUUUCUCGCCUGUAUCUCUAGAGGCAUUGUUUUAGUGAAUGCACUUACUCUCUAUGAAAUUAUGCAACGUAAUUUUAUUAUAAUCUAAAAUCAAAAUUUUAUAUAUCUUUUUAACCAAUUAGAAAUUUUGAUUAUAAAAAUAUAAUAUUAUUUUAUAAUAAAUUAAAAUUUUUUAAAUAAAAUUAGUGAUAUUAGAUUAAGAGAUGCUGAAUAUCAUCUCAUCCUUCGGAUAUCAAUGGCACACGCUGUGUAGGCGAUCUAAUCCAUUUAUUUUAUUUUUAUUUUUUUAAUAUUUUUCUUGAAACUAUCCUAUUAAUAUAAGCAAAUGUUUUUUUUGUAAAAUUUUUUUUUUCAACAACCAAAUAUUUCUAUUGCCCUCUAAACUUUUAGUAGAGUUCCACUUUACCCGCUGUGUAGAGUUCCACUUUAUAAUAUAUUAGUUUAAAUUCAAACUGAAAAUUAAAUAUUAAAAAUUUACGUCAAAAUUUUAAAAUAAUGUCAAAAUUUAAAUAUAUAUUUUUAAAAAAUUAAAAUUUGAAAUUGAAUGGAUAAUUCAAAAUACAAAACUAAAUUUCAAUUUAUUCAAAUUUAAACUUAAAAUUAUAAUUUAAAUUUCAAUUUGAAGGCAUAAAUUUAAUUUAAAUUUUAGAUAAAAUUUGAAUAAAACUUUAUAUUUUAAUUUAAAUUUAAAUUUAUAAAUUAGAUUCAAAAUGCUUAAUUGAAUUUUAAUUUUUAAUUUAAGUUCAAAUGAAAAAGAAAAUUUAUAAAUAUAAUUUUUAAACUUAAAUUUAUGUUUUAAUUAAAAAAUAAGCUUAAAAAAGUUAAAUUUAAUCCGAAUAAUUCAUUCUGCUCGGAUUCAAUUUUCAAUCUGGCUUUUUAGGUCGAAUUGAGAAAAAGGGUAAAUGGGGGGAUUCCUAUUCACCUAGGAAUCGGAAUGGAAAUCCCGCAUACCAAACACGAACAAACGAUUCGUCCAUUCUGAUUCCGAUUUCAAGGUGAAAAAUGGGCGAACCAAACACGCCCUAAACUCUAAUAUUUCAUUCAUGUUACCCCUUUCAUCAAUUUUCGGCUAACGGAGUUUGACGGAAAACUGGCCAAAUGGGUAAUACGAAUGAAAUAUUAGAGUUUAGAAUAUUAAAUGUCUAUUUUAGAAGUUUGGGAGUAAAGUGAAACUUCGCCAAAAGUUUAGAAGGUAACGCACUACAACAAAAACGGUUUAUAGCGACACUUUUAAAUGUCGGUAUAGGUAAAAAAAAGUGCUGCUAGCUAAAUUACCGACACUUUAAAAAGUGUUGUUAUAUGUGGGGUCGCUAGGUAUAUAGUGACAGUUAAAGAGUGUCGCUAUAACCUAAAAAGAGUGCUGCUAAUUUACCAACACUUAUUUAAGCAUUUAGCAACCGUCGGAACUAUAUCACGUUGGCUGCGGUGGCGGAGGAGGAGAAGAGGGAAAGGCUCUUCGUCUAGAAUUUCAGUGGAUUGAGUGAGGGGAGAAGGGAAGAUGGUAAUCGAAUUUUUUUUUUUUUUUCUUUUCUGUUUGUAAUCGGGCUGAAUGGGCUGGGUGAGGUGGGUUGAGUAGAAUAAUAUUUUAUUUUUUGUUGGAUUGGGUUUUAUAUUUAGGCAUUAAUAGAUUUUUUUUAAGUUUUGGCAUAAAUGGACACUUACACAAAAAUGUUUCGAACAUGUGUUUCUAUAACCUAAUUUUGUUGUAGUGACGGUACAAUUUACUCCUAUAUAUGAUCGAAUUAUUCUCCUUAUAAAUCAAUUGCCACAUGACUUCUAAUAAACAAAAGAGAGAUAUACUAAACAAGAUAUUCACAUAUUCAAACUUAUUCAGUAUAUCACUUUUGCACUCAAGGACUCACAACAAUUUGUAAAUAAAGAGUAGAUCAUUAAUUACCUACAAGAGCACAGUGUAUACGUACCGUUCUUCAGACGAAUCCGGUUUGUUGUCACCUUGAGCUUGGUUUUCAGAACGGGGAGUGGAUGAAUUGGCGGGAUGAAGCUUCGAAGAAGUGGUUGGAGUUGUGCGUGAGGUUGAGUUGGCUACAGUCAUGGAUGAUGAGGCCAGGGUUGAUAGAGUGGACAAGCAUGCGGUAGAUGAGGAAGAGACAAGCAAGGAAGCGACGGCAGCGGACGAGGAUGUCACUUCAGCUGGAUGAAAGCAGAAAUCUCAACUAAAUCAGUAAUAAAGUCUCCAGAAAUCCUACUAAAAUUUCUUAAGAGAAGUUUUUUAUUUUUAUUUUGAAGAAUUGGAAGGUAUGUUUGAUGUUGAGGAUUCAAGCAGUAAUAGGUAAAAGAGAACCAUUGCCACCGCAAAUAUUAUCACUACAACAAUUUAUAUAUAAAUUGAAUCGCGAGUUUUACUGUGGCCGACGUGGCCGCUUCUCCGCACUCGCGAGGAAGAGAGGAAGAGAGAAAGGGAAAAGAGAGAGANUUGUAACGACCCAGCCAACUAGCAAUAAUAACUUGUUGGGCCCAACCACAGCCCAAAAUGCUUAAGCCUAGUUAUUAUUACUAGUGUCUAAGUCACUUAUAAACCCAAUGACAACCCCAUUCCCAUCCGAUGUGGGACUAUUGGGGUGUCACAGACUCCCCCUGUUAAGGCCCUGACGUCCUCGUCAGUCCAAUCACACACACAGCCCAAGAUUACCAGGCGAUGUGAGACUCGUCUCGCUAGCCCGUCAGCCAGACCCUGGCUCAGCCGAGACUCGCCACACAUGUCCAGCUGGUGAACCGGCUCUGAUACCAAAUGUAACGACCCAGCCAACUAGCAAUAAUAACUUGUUGGGCCCAACCACAGCCCAAAAUGCUUAAGCCUAGUUAUUAUUAUUAGUGUCUAAGUCAUUUAUAAACCCAAUGACAACUCCAUUCCCAUCCGAUGUGGGACUAUUGGGGUGUCACAUGGAUUGAAUUGUUUUGCACCAUUCAAAGCACCAUUUAUUCUUCUGUAGCCACAACUGAAUCAUAAUGUGUAGGAAUAAUGAUUUAAGUUUGAGAGAUUUUAAGAACAGUACAAAAUUUUCAAAUAUCACACUAUGAGGUUAAUAUUCCACGUAUUAAUUUUUUUUUUUUUUUUGAGAGACGCUACCCACUUCGUUUAUUUCAUUUAGAAAUAAACUUAGCUAGAAAUGUGAAUCAACUAGGAUUCGAACUUGGAUCUCGGGUACCAACCACCAAACCCUUUGCUGCUUGCUCUAGGGACGGUCGGUAUGCUUGCUAUGGUCUUUGAAACAUAAUUUUGGGUCAUCAAUGUGUUUUAGUUAGUGUGUGCAUGUGGGCAUUUAGCAAGUACUCAGUAGUGUUAUAUCAAGAAAAUGAAAAAUUACUCAAAACAAGUGUUGAGUUUUCGUAGGCUAUCUUUAACUUGGUUUUGCAGGCCUAUCAUGUUCGAUAUUUAAUCUAUACUGACACAAAAGUUUUUGUCAUGUUAGCUUCAAUUGGAGGGUAUUAACAUUUAACAAGAUUACUGUGCAUUGCAUGUAACCUUUAAUCAAAACUGACCUUUGAAUCACAUGGUUUAUCUACUUCGCGCGUGUUUCGAAUGUUGUGGUACUUUUAUUAAUCCCCAUAUGAGUCAUCCACGUGGCAAGUUUUUCUUACCUUAUAGCGUGGGACCUGCCUGUCAGCAUUACGUACUUUUUUUUUAUUGAAAUAUGUAUAUAUAUACAAACAGGAAGGGGGAAAAAUAGAACAAUUCAACAACAUUAUUCUACUUACUAAACUCGACCGGAAAAAAAUAGCCCAAAAAAAAGGGCAAUAUAUAGAAAAGUAUAAAUAAGGAAGCUAAUUAACAAGGUAAAAAUUAUCACCUCAUGUCCUUGAUAUGUGAAGAUUAUGAUCAGAGAUGAUCAAGGUUGAGCUCGAGUAACUUUCCUCAAGAGCACUUUCAUAAGCAGCAGUCAUUCCAAUAUCUUCUUCCAUAAAAGCACUUGUAUAUUUUGAAAGCUUUACAAUUCUGCUUUUACAUCUAAUGUGAAAUAUGAUCAUCCUCGAUGCAUUUUCUCUUCACAGUACACAUGCAAGAAUUAUAAUUAUUAUCUUCAAACGUAGAAGUAGUAUUUCAGCGUUCAUAUGCAUUAUGUUUGGUUAAUGCUGACUUCUUAUUGCCAUGCUUCCUUGCUACCAUUUUCUAUAUGCAAUCUCACGCGCGCUCUUUUGCGCUGCUCAUACUCGAGAGAGAGAGAAAUCUCUAGAGCUAUUUGGGUAAUAAACGAUCUUAGCAUUUCUGGCGCUUCCUCGGUUAUCCUGGUAAUACUCCCGAAUACAAUUAAACCGUUGAUUGUUGUUUGGUACAAUUUCUGUCAAAAAAAAAAAAUAAGUGUGUGAGAGAGAGAAAGCUUGUUAGAGAUAGAGAGAGAGAGAGAGAGAGAGAGCCCAACAAGGGAUAGUGAGGUGCUCUUCGUUCAAGAUUUUUCUUUCUGUUGUAACGAUAUCGGAAGUUCCUUCGUAAAGGUUGUCUGUGUAUCAAUGGUUCGUUUCAUUCAAAUAAUUAAAAAUAAGAAUAUACUGAUCCUAAUUUGUAGAUAUAAAUUAAGUAGAUAACACUACAAGGAAAUGGAGCUCUACCGACGUUUUUUUAGGGAUGCUUCGUUUGAGCGUCGGCAAAUCCCAAUUUAUCUCCUAAAUUAUCGAUGCUUAGGGUAAGCGUCGACGAAAUAAAAUUUUAGGCGCUGAAAUAAUUAAGUGCCCGCGAAACGCUACGCCCGCGAAACGCCCGCAUAGCGCGAAAACAUAGCGCCAAAAGUGAUAAAAAAAAAAAACCCUAAGCCUCAUAUUAGUUCUAUUUUCACAUUUCCUCUGUCACUACAUGCCUUUUUCCAUUCCCACCUUCCUUCACAGGUGAAGAAGAAGGUGAUCUCCCGCAUCCAUCGCUGCGCCCUCUCCCGCCUCUGCCGCCGCUCCCACUUCUCCGCCCAAUCCCACCGCCAAUUCGUCUAGGGCGCCCAGCUCCUCGCCCGCGCCCGCUCCUUCUCCAUUUCCUCCGCCUCCACCUCCACCUCCGCCCUCGCCCACUCCGCCAUCGCAGAGGCCGCUGCUGCCCUCGACGCUUGCGAUGCCGCGCCCCACAUCUUGAAGGCCCUCGCCCUCGACCUCUUCGGCCACCGCCUCCCCUUGCUCCGAUCUCUCGACGCCGCCCUCUCCCACCAGCCACCAAAUCCCUUUCCCCCAACGAGUGUGGCAACGCCCUCUUCAAGUGCGCCUGGAUCCAGCUCGCCCUCAACCACCAACGCUGCCUCGACGCAGCCCUCGCCGACCUCCUCGACACCGCGCGCAGGGCUUAUGGAUGGAAUGAGAAACUUGAAUGAGCUUCUGGAGCUGGAUGCAGAAGCUCUGAUAUGAAGUUUAGCUUCAGCAGGAAUCUUCUGGUACUUACUAAUUAAAAAACUUGUAGGGCUUUUCUAAAGAAUCUACUCAAAGAGCAUUGAUUUCUAUAGAAGGUCUAUAUAGGCCCCAAGUUUAUGAGUCUGAGUUUUGAAACAUAUUGUGAAUUAAAAGUAGUGACAGAGUCUGUCAACCUCCAGAUUUUGAGAAAUAGUAUGUGCAGAAUGAAGCAAAAUAAUAGUUAUAUCUUAAAAUUUGCAUUCAUUUACCCAAGUAUCCUUCCGCUAUUGAAAAACAUGGUCGUAUUAAAAAGGUAGUUGAUACUAAAUUUUAAUAGGCCACACUCUUCUUUUGAAAAGAUAGGUGCUUAAAUUAUCUGGAAAGCAUGAGAAGUAGGUGACAUAUUUAGGCCUUGUUUUGUUAUGCAUCAAUUUUACAUUUUUUUCCCCUUUUUUUUCUCUUUCACUUAAUUCCAUGCUUUGCGUAGUCUGAUGACAGAUUGUUUGCAAUCUCUGCAACAUUGGUGUUUGUUUUUUUUUUUUUAAGUAGUAGGAACAAUUAUCUCUAAGGCCUUUGCCAUCCUCGGCGAGUGCUACCAGCACAAGGGAUCCGUCGAGGCUGCACGGUGCACCUUCGACCCUGCCAUUUGGAUUGACGCCUGCUUGGAAUUGGCUCGGCAGGACCUACAGAGGCUAUCCGGAUCCAGAGGCAGAGACAUGAGCAGCUGAGUAAGGGUUUUCUUCCCCUGUCCCUCUCCGUCUUUCUUGUUUUUGUUCCAUUUCGUGUAGGGUUUUUGAAAGUUGGAUUGUUCAAUUUCUCUUUCGAUUUCUUUACAGGACAAGAAGGCUCCAUAGCUCAAGCUCUCUCUUCGAUCUCAUUAUUGAGGACAUGAGAUCCGGUCCAUCCAUAGUUCGAAUACCAGUCCCUUGCUGAACCCAGCCUCUUCUUACAGGAAUUUCCAUUGAUAACUUGUGAUGCUGCAUUUACUCCCUCAACUGCCAAAGUUGUUCUUGGUACGUAGAUUGAGACAUUGGAUUGCAAACUAUUACUGUAAAACUCAUAACGAGUUUCGGAUCCGAUCCAUACCGCGGGGGGCUCCGCCCCCCGCACCCCCUGGCGAAUGUCAGUGGUGGGCUACGGGCUCGGGCCUGUCGGCCCGAGNNNNNNNNNNNNNNNNNNNNNNNNNNNNNNNNNNNNNNNNNNNNNNNNNNNNNNNNNNNNNNNNNNNNNNACAGAUUUACGUGGAAAAUCCUUUGCAGGGAAAAACCACGGGCGAGGGAGGAGAGAACUUCACUAUGGAACGAAAAAGGGAAUACAAAGUUCUUCAGGUUACAACCAACCACGAUCACACGCCUCUAGGGCAUAAACGAUAAACGAAAAAGGAAAACUCAUAACGGGUUUCGGAUCCGAUCCGUACCGCGGGGGGCGGAGCCCCCCGCACCCCCUGGCGAAUGUCAGUGGUGGGCUACGGGCUCGGGCCUGUCGGCCCGAGCCCUCCGCUACCCACCACAGACAUUCAUUUUUCCUCCAUAUUUUUCUUUUUCAAUUUGGUCGCACCGCGAAACAGUCGGCGAAUCAAAAAUCCGAACUUGAGUCGAAUAUUAAUUUCGAGUCACAUCUAACAAUAUGCUCCAAAAUUUUUUUUGGUUUCUAAAACAUCUUUGCUUCUUUUUUGCGUAAAAUAUUUAGAUAGAACAAACUCUGAAAAAAUGAAGUCUAAUAGAAUUUGUUGGACUGAUCUAACGGUUUGUAUGGUCUUAGAUGCUUGACGUUUGUUAGCAGAUGCCCAUAGCAGAAUUCUUAUGAACUCCCACACAAGGUUAAUUGCUUGAUUGAAUCUUCCAUCAUUUGUCAUUCAACCUUAGCAAGUUGUAGGUACUGAUUGUAGAAAUUUUUGUGUUGUUCUACCAACUCAUUAGCCACCACUUUGUUAGGAAAGAGCUUAAUUGAAUUAAUAUGCUUGAAGUUCUUUUUCCGUCGUUUAACAAUGUACUUUGAUAGAAUUUUAACCACACCUUGAUAAUUUAGCACCGAGAGCACAUGCCUACCUGAAAUACCUUGAAUUGAAAAUAGCAACAAAAUAUAGCUAAAUUCAAACUCAUUUUCACUGUAAAGAACCUCAUAGCUCUUUUGCUAUAAGGCUAAACCAUCUUUCACUCUUGUAUGGUCUAUUACCUCAAAGAAGGAUACUAAUCCAUCAACUUUCACUAGCGAAGGGGUGCAAUAGGUCAAAAUCUUGAUCUCUUCUUGGAAUGUUAAACAUUUCCAAUAUUGUGUAAACCUUGCAUAAUUGCUGUUUCAUGUAAAAUUGUAUUACUAAUUGAAGGCCUAUACUCUAUAUGCACAUGAGAAAAAAGAUCUAAUUUUUUUAGAUUGUAGUGUUUAACAUAGUAAAAUCUUUUUAUCAAAAAAUUUGCUUUGAUAUAUCCUAUAAAAUAUAUUUGUCACCUAAGAAAUGUUAUUGGCUGAUAUUUUUAUGAAAACAAGAUAACUUAGCAUUUUUUUUAUUUGGUACUUUUCUAAAAAUCCUAGAUGGCCCUUAAAUUUUUGUUUGAAACGUGAAACUAGCCAUACAAUUAGUGUUUAAUUCCAGAUAAGCUCUAUCAUGUCAAACAUUUGAUUCACAAGUAAUAUUACACUGCUAAAUAAUAGUUUUAAAUAUUACAGGAAUACAAUUAUUCCUAACCAACACCAUAGCACCGUUCCCGGCUCGACAAACUCAUUGGUAAUAGUUAGUCAAAGCGAAAUUUUUGGAUAAGGAGCUUCAAAAUUCUACAGUGAGGAGAGCAAGAUCUUCUUGGUAUGGUAAAGCUUAUUAUUUUGCAUAUUUUUCUGUAUUUUUUUUUUCAAUUUUGUAGUAUUGUUUUUCUCUUUAUUGANNNNNNNNNNNNNNNNNNNNNNNNNNNNNNNNNNAUAUAUGACAUUUGGCUUGCCCUCUAAGGUCAUUUAUCUUAAUUUCCAUAAUUUUGGAAGUAAGUGUGUUAAUUGAAAUGCUAAAUUUUUUAGUAAGGAGUAUUAGUGUCAACUCUAACUAAAUAUGAAGUUUAGAACAGUCCAUUAUUUAUUUUUAUUGUUUGGGCUCAAUUUUAUAAAGCUAAAUAUCUCUUUCUACCCUAAUGUUUAUAGUUGAGACUGAAGUUCUUGUUCUUUAUUUUACUUUUUUUUUUUAACAUAUGGGUUAUAAUCAUACAGAUUGUGAUACAAUGGACAAAAGUUGGAUAAGUAAGCCGAGAAAUGAUAAUGCGUACAUUGAUGGUGUUAGAAAUUUUAUUAAAUUUGCUAUGGAAAAAUCAUCGAUAAAUGGCAAGAUCUUAUGCCCAUGUCGAAAGUGUUACAACAAUUCUUCUUUUGUACCAGAAGUUGUCGAAGAACAUUUAGUGUGGAACGGUUUUUUAUUAGGUUACAAUGUUUGGGUAUUUCAUGGAGAGUCAUUUGUGACAUCUUCAAGUGAAAUCGAAUGCACUUCAUUUGCUCUAGGGUCUACUAGUGCACAAGAAAGUAGUUCAAGACAAGAUGGUCUAGGAGGAUUGCUACAAGAUGUCUUUGGAAUUAUGGGUACUAAUUUGAAUAAUGAACAAGUAAUGAAUGAGACUAUUCCUAAUAAUUUAGAAGAAUAUAAUGACGAGGCGUAUGCUACCGGAUUUCUCGGCGAGCAAAAUUUUAAUGAGAGGUCAAUGCAAUCAUCACCUAGUGAAACAAUCCGAUAUAAAAACUUGGUGAAAGAUUGUGAUCAAGAAUUAUAUCCAGGUUGUAAAACUUUUUCCAAGAUAUCAUUCAUUCUCCGCUUAUUCCACCUCAAAUGCUUAAACGGGUGGUCUGGAAAAUCCUUUACAAUGUUGCUUCAAUUAUUAAAGGAUUCAUUUCCUGAAGGAACCUCUUUGCCGUCAUCUUAUUAUGAAGCUAAAAAGCUAAUAAAAGAUUUGGGUCUUGGAUAUGAGAAGAUUCAUGUUUGCCCUAAUGAUUGUAUGUUNAUAUAUAUAUAUAUAUAUAUAUAUAUAUAUAUAUAUAUAUAUAUAUAUAUAUAUAGGGGCUGCUGUAGACGUGUGGAAUAGAAUCCACUGCUAAAUUCAGAUAGACCUCGCAAUCUCUACUCGUACCCGUGGAUACUUGCAGGUUAUAUACCGGCAAAUUUGCUGAUAUGGAUACUAGUUUUUUCUACUGAAAAACUUACGGAUAAAACGGAUGGAUGCCCGUUAAGUUGUGGGCAUUUUGGGCAAUCUGCGGGCACUCACAAGCACCUGCAUAUUUUUUUUAAUCAAAAAAUAUAUCAUUUUUAUGAUAUUAACUCUAUAUUAUGUGGCGCGUCAAUUUGGAUUUGUCUAAACCAUCCCUACUCCAUCCAAAUUCUUCACAGCCAAUACUGCCCGUAGUCAUCCUCCAACACUAGUGAGCAUUCCGAGGUAUGGUACUCCUUUUUAGUCCUGCAGAAUCUUCAUGGCCUGAAGACGCACUCCAAGUUGACGCUGAGCAUUGAAGUUUACUGUCCUCAUUAUGUGGCACGUCAAUUUGGAUUUGUCUAAGCCAUCCCUACUCCAUCCAAAUUCAUCACAGCCAAUACUGCCCGUAGUCAUCCUCCUAUGAAGAGAGCAGCUGAAGCAGAUUGGCUUUCAAUUGUGGGGAAUGGCCUCAGGUUUUUACCCCUGUGUGUUUUCAGCCGAACCGUACGAGGUUAGCCGAUCUCCACUUCCAGGGUACCUGAGAGAGCUUUUGUGAGAUCAUUUUUUCCAAGACCUUGUCUCACUGUCUCCAUAACAUCCUUCAUACAAAAGCUAUUUCUUAAUAUAGUCCUAUAUUUCUUUCUUCUUUUGUUUUUUCUCUCUUUAAUCUCUUUUGCUUACUUUAGUUGGCAUUUCUAUGGGUAAAGAGACUGCACUGGACUAUCUGGAACCACAGGAUUUAGGCGAGGAUUCUGACACGGAUCCAAAGGUCUCGCCUCGCCCCUCAGUGGUAUAUUUCGCCUCUCAUGGUACAUCUACCUUUAUUGUGUUUGCGGCUUAUUUCCAUUCUUUUUUUUUUAUUCUUUUUAGCCAGCAUGUGUUUCCAAUCCAUCGGCCAGGCUACCGGAGAAGCAACCGAUUGAAUCUGUUUCUUCAGCUCUGCCGCAGUAGAAGUGGCAAAAAUUGAUUGCUAUUAGGAUUCGAUCUUUUUCUCCUCCUGCAUCGGUUGAAGGUGUGCCAUCUGUGGAGGAGCCGACUGCUGAUACUGUACUGUCAGCUCAAACCACUGUUCCAGUCGAGGAAGUACUUGAGUUUGUCCUGACAAGGGCCCCUACAGAGCCGAUUCCUCCUGAAGAAGACCCUCAACAAGUUUCGUCAUCAGUCGAGAUAAAUUCUCAGCCUAUUUUGAUUAAUUCUCCACCGAGAUAAAUCCUUAGUCUAUUUUGAUUCAUUCUCCUUCGUCUUCUCGCUCUUCAACCGGAUCACCUAUGUUAUCCUCAUCGAUGAGCUGAAGGAGACGACCUCCGAUAAAGCACUGACAAAGAUCUCGUGUGCUCGAUUCACCUCAGCACUCGAAAAGGCCACUACAACAAAAACUUUUAAAUAUCGGUACAGGUGAAAAAAAGUUAUGCUGGCUAAAUUACUAACACUUUCUAAAAGUGUUGCUAUAUAUGGGGUCCUAUAUGUAUAGCUGUCUUGAUGUUUGGCACCCACUCUUUCAGCGACAUGUGGUGGAGGGACACAUGGCGAUCAUAGCCCUCUACGGUCCUUGCGAGAUUCUUGCAGCCGAACUCAAGCUGCCGGAACUCAACCUCGUCAGCUGCUGCGGCAGAGGAGAAGGGAAGAUGGUGAACAAUUUUUUUUUUCUUUUCUAUUUGUAAUCGGGCUGAGUAGGCUGGAUAGGGUUGGUUGAGUAGAGAAACUUUUUAUUUUUUAUUGGAUUGACUUUAUAUUUAGGCUUUAGUAGAUUUUUUAAAAAAGUUUGGCAUAAAUGGGACAUUUACACAAAAGUGUCCCAAAACUGUGUCCCUAUAACCUAAUUCUGUUGUAAUGUAUAAUCAUGUAAACUUUAUUAAUUUUGUAUCGCGAAAAUUUGGGAUGAUAAAAUACUUUUAUAUAAUGUAAUUUAUGCAGUUUAAAAUUUUAUAUUUUUAUUAUAUAUUGUGAUAUUUCAAAUAACAAGUUAUGUUAUGUUUUUAAAAAUUAUAUAUAUAUAUAUAUAUAUAUAUAUAUAUAUAUAUGUGUGUGUGUGUGUGUGUGUGUGUGUGUGUGUGUGUGUGUGUGUGUGUGUGUUUUACAUUUGGAAAGUAUAGGAGCAAAAAAUUUAAAAAAAAAACUCACGGGUAACUCACAUACCUGCCUCGCCAUGGGUAAAAAUAUUGACUACGCAAAAAUUUACGAGUGUUGGCGCCAACAAUAGCGCCACAUGGUAGAGCAACUUGAGCCACGUGAGCAAAGUGACAGGAGUGAGAGAUAAAGUGAGACAUUGUCCACUCAGAGUUGGAAGCCGUAUGCCUAAAACAGAAAGGCGGUUUAGGCGGGAUGCGGUUGAAGACGUGGAGGAAGGAGUUCAUGGCCAGCAAGAAAUCGGCCGAAGCAUAAUCCAAUAAAAUAGGGACGUCGCCGAAUAAACCUCCAUGACGGGAUUAACUCAAUAACGGCAAGCACGAUUAUAAAUAAGAAAAAGUGCGCUUAUAAGAGGGGUCAUUCACACGAGUAAGAGACCAUAACAAAUUUCAAUUUCUUUCUUUUUGGCAUUUACUGCUUUCCUAGGAGUUAGUUUUAGUAGUCAGUAGAUUUUCUUGUUAGUUGUAAUAGAUUUUCUUGUGGUGGAGUAGGGUUAUGAGUAGAGUUUAUCUCUGUAAAAACUUUUGUACCUCUAUUUUGUCCGUUUUUCGAUAAAUAUAAGCCACUCAAUUCAUUCAGCUGAGUUUGUAAAUAGUUGCAAAAGAAUUCGGUUGAGCCGAUCUCUCCUUAACCGAAUCGCUUGAUUUAUCAGUGGUGCACUCGAGGGUAAUCUUAGGAGCUGAUUCACAUUUCGAGGACGAAUUUGACCUGGUCAACGCUUUGAUCCGGUCUGUGUAGCUCCGCAUUCAGUUAGCACAGUAAUUUUUGGCACGCCUAGUGGGACACACUCAGGUACAUCCAAUCUCUCUCAAAUGGCUAACGACAACACAAUGAACCUCUGAAAUAAGACCGCUCCCAGGCCCUUAGGGAAUGACCAAGUCGGUAGUGCCAAAAAUACAAAUGAGCAUCAGGCGAUGCUGCAGUCAGAAGGUGAGAGUAGUGGGCACUCGGCUCAUUAAGAGUCGAGCCUAACACAGGCACUCGAAAAAAUAACCCGAGUCCUGUAGUUUCUGGAUCAGAAUAGUCUCCGGAGUACCGCCUGUUUAGAUGUGAUGCUGGCUGCUAUCACGGUCUCCAACGAAAACAUUACUCGUAUUAGGCAAUUGUUCGCUGGCAGGCCACUAAGCAACCAUAUGGGGGUCCACAAGGACUCCUAGCCUUGCCGGUGCAACAAAAACUUGUUGCGCUGGCAGGCCUGUAGACACAACCCCAGAUAGCACCUUUUCAUGUUGACCAUCAGCCGACAAAUGUAAACGUCGGCCAGCAACCGAAGAUAGUAUGGAGUUUACCCUUGCCACCUCCCUUACCUACCUAUCAACCCCAAAACGAGGGUGUGAGGGCUGGAGGCCAAGGCCCUAACGCAGCGCAGGGAUUUAACCCUGCAGUGCAAAACUACGUACCACCUCUAGAGAUGAACGAAAUUCUGGCCCCUGCUCCUGCCCUUGGAACAGGGAACAAAUGCUUAAAUAGAGGAGGCAAUCCGAAAUACGUUUGGUGUAGGGGCAAGGCCGGUGAUGCGGCCUGUAUUCAGGUCCCCAUAGCCAGCUAAUAUUGAUGCGGAACAUUCGUAUUCGGCAAAUUGGAAGAUGCAGAAGUUCGACAAAUUUUCGAGCAAAGAGACUGAGAAUACAAUAGAGCAUGUCGCUCGAUUCACAACCUAAUUUACAGAAGUGGCCGCUAACCCAUUCUUAAAACUUUGCUUGUUUAAAACGUCGUUAACCAAGAUGGCGUUUACAUGGUGCACGAGCUUACCUGCCAAGAUUGGGACGAAUUGGAGCGUAAAUUUCAUGAGCAAUUCUAUAGAUCAGAAUUUGGAUCAACGGUAGCCGAUCUAGCGUUGUACAGACAGAAGUCGUGACAAACGGUUGAAGAGUACUUGAAUCAUUUCAAAACGGCCAGAAACUAGUGCUUUGUGAGUAUGCCAGAAUCUGAAUUCACCAAAAUGGCAUUUAAUGUUCUGUAUUUUAAAAUAGGGUUAAUUUCAUACAAGUCUCUGCAGAUAUAGUGAAUUACAAAUAUAUACCUACAAAGUUCAACUUUUAUAUGUAGUCCUUGCAAAAGUCAUGAUGUUUUCAAAUAUAUCCCUAUCGGUAGGAUCUGUUAAAAAAAAUUAGUUAACCAUAGGUAAAAUACUUAACCCUAGUUAGCUAAUAAGGUGAAUUAACCUUUUUACCCCUCUUCAAUUAACAGUUGGCCAACUUUUGGUGGGAUAUAUUUGUAAUGGCAAAAAGUUCAUUUCACUUAUUAAAUAAACAACGCUUUAAUGGUAAUAACCUAGAGGGACAUAUUUGAAAAUAUUAAGACUUUUGCAGGGACAACAUAUGAAAGGUGAACUUUAUAGGGAUAUAUUCACAAUUACUAUGUUUGUAGGGACUUGUAUAAAAUAAACCCUUUAAAAUAAAGGACCAUUUCGAAGAUAAGUAUUUUUCUAAACUGUUUGAUCUGGGUGUUCGGGUCGUCCAAUAUAAGCAAUUUAGAAAGGAAAAUAGGGGUGAUCGGCCGUGUUGGAGUCGAAACAAAGAAUGGAACAGGAGAAAAGAGAAAAACCUCUCUUUCAUUGAAGAGGGAUCAGCUCGAGAUGAGUCGAAUACCUCUAGUGAGUCUGAGGACUCGGCUGAUGAAGCUGAUGUAUACGUGGCUGAGAUGGUAAAGAACCGCUAGCCUUACAAGUGUACAAUAUUUAGGCCAACUAAAGCUAUAAAGCAUGAAUUGCUAUAUACAUGUAUUCAUUUGAUGUGACCAAAACUAACUAGAUAUUUGAUCGAUUGUAUAAGGACGGAAGGAUCAAGCUCAUGUUGUCUUCUAGGGUGGAAUUGAAGAAAAAAAAUAUUAGAAGUGGCACCAUUCAUGGAGCAACAUGACUAGUGAUUGCACAACCUUUAAGAGGCAAAUACAAAAGAACAUAAAAAAAAGUCGGCUGAUUUUUGCCGACCAAAAAAAUAAGGAUAAAAUGAAAAUUAACCAAAACCCCUUUCCUACACAGGUUAACAUUGUGGACGUCAAAGGAAAGAAGCCACUUCAGGAGGACAAAUUUCAGGAAGACGUGGUUAAGAUGAGAAGAAUGCUUCGGCUCUGCAUAAGGUGUAAGGCCGAAAUGACACUCCAGGACUGGAAAGUUAUCAUACGUGAAAAGAAGGCGUAUGGGGAAUGGAAGGAGUUCAUGGCCUUGCCUGAGGAAUAGGAAGAUAUAUCCGAGGCCAUCGGUCUUCCGGAUGAAUGGAGGAGGCCUCCAAUGACUCCGAAGAAGAAGUGAACUCCAGGAAGGACUGGAAGGACCCAUCGAUCCGAAAGGUCAUGAACGAGUACUAUCAGAUGAAAGAGAGGACUAGCCAAGAGGGUUAUCCAAGAAAACCUUUCGACACUUAGCGAAGGAACCAGGGGUGUCAGCCCACAUGGCACUAGCACCUACAGUCGAGACCCGAGCCAGAAUUUGAAGGAAUGACUGAGAGAGAUGUAGAAAUCCUCGGUCGGAGACUAAUGAAUGAGCUCGGCAUCCAACCAUGGCCAAUACUGUGGGAAAGAGGAGAGAGCCUGCAGGAAUACCUCAAAAUGGUGAUGACGCCAGCAAACAUGCCAACUAAGCAGUGGUUAACGGCAAGGGCGUCGGUGAGGUAGUAUAGGCCGGUUCUGAUGAAGACACAAAAAUGGGCAGCAAUAGAGGGUGCAGGUCGAGAUGAGACACGACUAGGAGAAAGUGAAAGGAAUGAAGCCGAAUAUGUUGAAACAGUCUGCUCAACGGUUGCCUCCUCGGCCUAUAAAGAAUGAUGAUGAGGCGGGCAGCUCAAAUCCCUUGCCAUGGCCGAAAUCCUAGUAGAGCAGUCGACUGCGGAAAAGCCGAUGAAGAAUGUCACGUGCAAAGAGCUGAAGGAGAAUAUCGUUUCUCUUGAGACUAUCAUCAAAUGAGAGCGAUGCCAUCCAAGUAGAGAGAGGUUAGGCUAGAGAGUGAAUCUUCAGCCGAAGUGGCAAAAGGGUCUGAUGAGGAAAAAGAGAGGACCGGAGAAGUUGCAGUCGAAGGAAAUUCGGCUGACAUGGGCAUGGUGUAAGCGCUGCCAUGCUCGUUCUAGGUAGAGUCAGAAAAGUUUGAGGAGCAGCCUCAAUAUGAAGAGGAGCUAGCAGUGGCCUAGCUCCAGCUUGAGGACUUCAAAGUGGAUGAUGCAGUGUUGUUUAAAAAGCAUCGGCCCUGCAAAACAGGUUUGUCAGGCCUUUGUACAUUAGGGCUUUAAUAGAGGGACGACCUAUUGACCGAGUAAUGAUAGACAACGAGGCUGUAGUGAACGUUAUGCCAACUUCGUUUCUCAAGAAACUGCGCAAAAAUGAAGAUGAGCUCAAGCCCACCAACACAAUCAUGACUGACUUCAUGGAAAGCGGUCAGCAGGCAUGGGGAGUACUGACAACCAAACUGACAGUUGGAUCCAAGACUCUCUGGAUGGCCUUCUUCAUAGUGAAUGCCAAUAGCCACGACAAUCUACUACUGGGGUGUGAUUGGAUCCACGCCAACGAAUGUGUACCCUCGACUCUCCACGAGAAGCUUUUCUAGUGGAUUGGGGAUCGCAUUAAGAAAAUCGUGGCCAAAGAAGCCUCAGUUGGUGGAUGUGAACAUAGGGCGCAUCAGCCAUUUGAAUUAGGCUGAAGCAGACCCGGACCAGAUCUCAUUUAUCGGGUCAGCAAAGACGGAGUAUAGCUGGUACUCCAAAAAGAAAACAGAAGUACUAGCAGCCGCCGAAGAGUCGUCGGCUUGGCUAAAAUGGAAUGUCAGGAGUUAAGAGCCAAGGCUCUGAGGGAGCUUCCGGAUAAAAUGCUGACCAAGGGAGUCGGCCACUUCAAGGAUUUGGCCAUUGCGACCGAUGAAAAAACCAUAGCAAAUGGUUUGGCUCAAAGGGCCGUUGGUAGGGAAAAAGGGCAGCCGGAAGAUUCGGUCGUUAGGGCCGGGAAUGGCAGGCCAAAUGAAACAAUGGCAUCGGCUGGCAAGGCCAACAGGCUGGAGAAAGAAGAAGAAUCGACCACAGGGAUCCAAGCCAAAGUAGGUUUUAUGAAAGAAUCACCAAUCAAGAUUGGGGAGAAGACGUUGGAGACUCAAGACCCGCUGAUCGAGAUGAAUUUAGGGUCGGACGAAGAUAAGCGACCAACCUUCAUUAGUGGAAAACUUUUGGCACGACAACAAGGGGAGUUGAUCGAGCUACUGAGGGGAUAUAAGGAUUGUUUCAUUUGGAGUUACAAAAAAAUGCCGGGACUUAGCUGAAAGAUUGUAGAACAUAGGCACCCUAUAAAAAAAGAAUUCGGCCUUAUAAAUAGCUAACUAGUAGGUUUGAGCCGAAUAUUGAAAAUCUUUUGAAAGCCAAUUUUAUUAGAGCGGCUCGCUAUGUCGACUGAGUGUCCAACAUUAUUCUAGUGCGUAAGAAAAAAGGCAAAUUUAGGGGUUGUAUUGAUUUUAGAAAUUUGAACACGGUUACGCUUAAGGACGAAUACCCUAUGCCUAUAGUUGAUAUGCUGGUAGACGCAGUAGCCGAUCAUGAAAUCCUAUCCUUUAUGGGUCGUCACGCUGGCUACAAUAUAGCCGAAAAAGAUGUAUUGAAAACGGCUUUUAGAUGUCCGAGGUCCAAUGGGACUUUUGAAUGGAUAGUGAUGUCCUUCGAAUUAAAGAAUAUUGAGGCCACUUACCAGUGAGCAAUGAAUUUUAUCUUUCAUGAUCUGAUCAAUAAAAUUUUAGAAAUUUACAUCAACGAUAUCGUAGUGAAAUCCAAAUCUCAGACCGAUCACUAGGUAUAGUGUCCCUGGUGUUUUGCAGCUUGUGUGAUCUCAGCAUCUGAGGCUUGUCGACAUGUCUGGAGAGUGUCGUGACAAGUUGGAGUCGUUUUGGUGCGAAAUGGACGUAAAACGGACUCAACACGAUGCGAGAGUGGAGUUCUGACACUGAAAUCUGCAAAGUGCAGGAUUUCAGUGUUGAGUACCGAUACCGGGGAGGAGUACCGAUACCCCAGUAGAUUUAAGAAUUGGAUUCUCUCAGGUUUACGCGUAUUUGAUGCUGAGUACCGGUACUGACUUAUCGAGUACCGGUUUCGAGCGCAGGUACCGGUGCUACAUCGGGCUGGUACCGGUACCCAACGUGUGAGACUGCAGGUUGAGGACCCGAGUACCGGUAUUCAAGUUAAGUACCGGUACUCUAGCUGAAAAUUUGAGUAGGUGAGGGGCAGUUUGGUCUUUUAAAGUGUCAUUCAUUCCAACUUUUCCCCAGCCUAUUUAUUUACAUGUAGGGUGUUUAGAGAGGGGCUACUGUUUCUUUUCCUUUCUCUCUCUAGCUGGUGGACACCGUGUGUAGGGGAGGUCGAGGCUCGAGCUUGUUCGGAUUCGACGUUACUCCGGAGGACCGUUCGGACGCGUUGGUGUCGCGAUUGCGCCGUUGGAGGUUGGGCGAGCACAUGGGUUCCUUCCUAUCGACUUCUAGCCGACGUUGGCCGAGCGAUCGAGGUGGGUUGAUAUUUACCGAAAUCGUCGGAUUUCCUCCUAAGUCGUCGUGUUGACAGCAUGUAGUUUUUUUGGUUUUGGUUAUCAUGUUGUAGCUCAAAUUCAAGAAAUUGCAUUUUAAAUGAAAACUGAGUUAUGGAGUAUGAUCUAGAAAUUUAGCCCAAUUUAUAUGCUGAAAUUGGAAUUGACUUAGGAGAAAACUAGUAACCCUACACUGUCAUUUUCUGAAAAGUUACCAAAUUUAGCUUUAGAAACUGUUAUUAAUUUGUAUCACCGCUGUUAGUGCGAGGUGGAUACCCAGAUUAGUGUAGAAUGAGUUUACGCUUGAGCUGGGAGGCCGAGCUCAUUUUGCAGUAGAGUGUAGACUGUUUUGUACUGUCGGGUGCCGUCGUGGUUGACGGUGGAUCCAGAUUUCUAUAUCUUGCAUUAGAUUGUGCCAAGGGCACGUGAGCUUUGGUUGUUAGACCAAAUAGACCCAUUUGCAUUGACUACAGCCUGUGAGGGCUUGAUUGAGCUCGGCAGAGACACGCUUGCAUACUCGGUUGGGUCGCACCCACGAGUGUCAUUCCGGAGUCUGGCUACCUUGCUUUGCGUUGAUGUCAUAAUAGUCCGAUUUAGACCUCGCUCUCCACUGGCCGCACUCGGGGUGGUGUAUGGUGUAGCUUAGACCGGCAGGACGGGUGUAUCACAGUCCCUAAUGAGAUUGGGUAAGUGUGAUGCAUUUUCAUAUCUACAGAUAGCCUAUGUUGGUUAGUGAUAGUAUAGUGGCAUGUAGCUGUAGAGUUUUUCCAACUUUCUUUAAUAUCCUUUGCACUUAUUUCUGUAGACUUAGUGGGUGAGCUGUUGAGAUCUGUGGCGGUACCCACUGAGGACUACUUCAUUUUGCAGUAGUUCUCACACCCAGUUGUUGACACCUUUUUGCAGAGCCUUCGUCUGCGGCUGCCACUGUUGCUGAUUCCGACCGCGGGAAGGGAGUCGCGAGCUAGAUCCCUACCAGUCGUGUCGCCGUACUAGAGGAGUACCCUACACAGGUAUUUUUGGGGUGUUUCAGUUCAUGUACAUACCUUAUGUUUGGUUUACUCGCUGGAGCGAAGGUUGGUGUUGGUUCGGAGAUUUUGUAUGUAUUAUGAACCUUAUGUUUUGUAAUUAUUCAUAUUUUCAGUUUAGUAGCUCUUACAUUCUGGUUGUAGCUACGAUUUGAUUACAGGUACAGCUAUCGCUUCGUAUACAUAAAAAAAUUUUAUGUAUACGGCGAGUCCGUUGGCGCGCCCGGGAAAACGUGGUAAUCCGGGGCGUGACACCGGGCCAAUCUAAGAUUAUUAGCCUUCGAACGCAUAAAGAAAUACAAUCUAAAAAUGGAUCCUCUAAAAUGUGCAUUCGAGGUGUCGGCUAAAAAUUUUUUCGAUUUUUUGAUUCAUCAGAAAGGGAUCAAGAUAGAUAAGGAUAAGGCAAAGGUAAUUAUAAAAUUACCGCCACCUAAAACUAAAAAAGAAUAACAAAGUUUACUGAGAAAAAUAAACCAUUUGAGAUGAUUCAUAUCAAAUCUAGCUGGGAGAAUAGGAGUAUUUACUCCAUUACUUCGGCUAAAGAAUCAAGAGGAAUUCUUAUGGACAAAAGAGCACCAGGAGGCUUUUGAACAUAUUAAAAGAUAUUUGAUAAAACCCCCAGUGCUCAUCUCCCCUCGACAAAGACAACCGAUGAAAUUGUAUAUCUCGGUUGUGGAGGAGAACUUGAGGUGUCUGUUAGCUCAGGAGAAUGAUCUAAAAGAGAAGUAAGUGAUCGAAAAACUAUGUUAGGUAUUAUAUUAUACUUGCAUCAAGCUGAAAUACUAUAUCUCAUCUGUCGAAGUGUUGGUUGUCUAUAAGACCGAUCUUAUAAAUUAUAUGUUGUCGUGACCAGUUUUAAGGGGAAGAAUAGGGCGUUGGAUGUUAUCCUUGUCCGAAUUCUCUCUUAAUUACGUCCCGAUAAAGGUCGUUAAGGGUUAGGCAAUAGCCGGCUUUUUGGCUAGUUACCCAUGCAUGUGACGAAAUCUAAGAGCCGAGCCAAAAACUAGUUGGCCUUCGGUCGUGGAUGCUUUACUUUGAUGGGUCCAAGACAUCCGACUCGGCGGUAGCCCGGAUAAUGAUACAAUUAUCUGAAGGAAAAACUUUCCAGUUUUCCGUCAAACUAGAUUUCAGCUGCUCCAAUAACCAAGCCGACCACAAGGCUUUGAUAAUUGGUCUCAAAAUGUUAGACGAGCUAUAGUUGUCAUUGGUGACUCACAGUUAGUGAUAAACCAAUUAAGUGAUCAGAGAGUACCAAUGCGAAAGCCCUAAUCUGUAAAACUACUUGAGCAAGAGAAUGAAAAUUACUUAAUAGAUUUCGGAAGGUGGAAUUUGUGCACCUAUCAAGGAAGGAAAACAAGCGAGCAAACGAGUUGGCUCAAUUAGCUUCAAGAUAUAAAGAGUUGAGAGGGAUGAGCCAGGUCAAGUUUGGCAAAAGGCUGCUACCAUCGAUUUACACGCGACAGCCGAUAGUGAUUGCCCUUGUCAUAGUGCAGGAUGAUUAGAGGACACCUCUAGUUGAUUUCCUCAGCAAUCCAAGUAGACAAGCCAGCUAUCAACUAUAGAAGAAGGCUCUCGGCUAUUGUCUACUAGACGAACAUCUUUAUAGAAGAAUGACUGAAAAAGUGCUUCUAAAAUGUUUAGAAAUCAAGGAAGCCCUGAUAGUCAUAGGUAAGUUCCAUGAGGGGUUGUGUGGGGCACAUUUGGCCGACAGAAAAUUGAGUUGAACAAUUCGACAUAUGGGAUACUACUGGCCAACCAUGCACGAGGAUUACAUAAAGUAUGCCAGAGGAUGUCAAGAAUGCCAAUUCAAUGGGCCGGUGUAAAGGGUACCAGCCUUUGAGAUGCACACUAUUAUCAAGCCUUGGCCGUUCCGUGAUUGGGCUAUAGAUUUGAUUAGAGAAAUUCAACUGAAUUGUUUGGCUGCACAUAAACUUUUUGAUAGUGGCCAUAGAUUAUUUUACCAAAUAGGUGGAAGUAAAGCGCGCGAGAAUGACCACUCAAAAGGACAUUAUAAAAUUUGUAGAAGAUUCCAUCAUUCAUCGCUUCAGGAUUCUCGAAACGAUUAAAACCAAUCAGGGGAUGAUAUUCACAGGGGAGCAGUUCUUGAGAUUUUUGAAAUCAAGACAGAUCAAGCCGCUACAUUCAUCACUUUAUUAUGCACAGGCCAAUAGAGAGGCCAAGGCAGUAAAUAAGGUUAUCAUAAAUAUGAUGAAGCGAUAUAUUGGAAGAUAUCCGAGAAAAUUAAACGAGAAGCUCUCGAAAGUAUUGUGGGUGUAACGAACAAUCGUCAAGACAGAACAAAGGUCACGCCAUUUCGGCUGGUCCAUGGUCACAAGGCCGUUGUGCCGGUCAAAAUAAUGGUCCCUUCAUUAAGGAAGAAAGACAAAAAGAAUUGUCGCCUAAAAAAUACGAACUCUUGAUGUGCUGGAAUUUAGACGAGAUUGACGAGACUCGAUUAUUAGCACUCAAUUAUUUGAAAGCCUAUUAGAGCCGAGUAGGCAACGCGUACAACAAAAGGAUCAGAGCUAAAUCUUUCAAUGUAGGAGACAAUGUUAAAGUGAAUAUUGCCGAUUUGUUGAAAAAGCUAGCUGUACGAAAAAUGAUCUCCGAAUUGAAAAGGAUCAUUUCAAAUAUACAAAGUUGUUAGAGGCAAUGCAUACUUCUUAAAAACAUCAGGAUGAUCAAAAAAUAACAAGGUGAUCAAUGGAAAGUACUUGAGAAAAUAUUAUCGUUCUGUAUAAAAAGACGAAUAAAAUAUUAUCAUAAAAUAAAUGUCAAAAUAUGUCACAGCCGAUAUAUAAAAGUCGAAAAAUCAAAAUAAUAAAUCCUAAAGUUGGUUCCAUUCGAUUUCUAAGUUGGACUGAGCUUGGUCGGCUGCAUGUUUCCUCUGUUUCAUGGUUAGAUGGAUCUUGUAAAGCUGUGUCACGCCCCGAGGCCGAUUUUUAAAGCCAUUUUGAAAACAGAGUUGUGGAAGACGUGCCUUUUUUUUUUUUUUUUCAACCUGGCCCACGUGACGUACUGACCCGCCACAAAUACAAAGUUCCUCUGUCCUCUCGGACAGAGUCUCCUUUGUAUUUGCACGGCGUACCAACAAUACAACAGGAUCUCAACUACAAUCUACAAUUACCAAUCAACAACCAAUUCAUGAUAUGCAUUUUCAUACAGCUAACAAUCCUUAAAGUUGAUGCAUACCUCUAAGCACUCCUUAGGCGCUGGAUGAUGCAAUACACAGUACAACAAUCAUCCUACUUCAAAGUGCUCCCUACCCGGAAGCUUUAUUUUUUAAAAUCUAAUUCAUUCAUACAUGAAAACCAUUCGAAAACCUUUUGAAAACUGUUUUCCACACGGAAACUCUGCUUUGAAAACCGACUACCUCAAGGGGUAGAAAACCACAAUGUAUAAAUCCGUAAAUAUAUAAAUCGAGAAUCAACUAUCCAUAAAACCAAAACCAAGAAUCCACAAAUCUCUAAUCUCAUAUUCACAAUCUCAUGCAUACGAGGAAAACCAACUCAUUCAAACAUUCAAAUAUCAGUAAUGAUCAUCUAACUGAACCAUUUAUUUAAACUGCUAAAAGUAGGAAUGAAAUAACCAGGGUGACGGUUGCUAUACCAGACUAGCUAGAUCGUCAUCUCGUCGCGCCCAACACAAACUCCAAGCCUAAAUCAUCUGGGGAAAUGGGGGGUGAGAAACCGCAAACAUGGUUUCCCAGUGGAUACGACAGAGCCACGAAGGCAAGCCGUAAUCACCGGAAACCAAAGGAGAUAGGUAACAAAUAUAGAUGCUGAUAUGAAGAAACUACAGUAGCUACAACAGAUAAUAAGGAGCAAUAAAUAAAUCUGCUACUGUAUAGAAAACGAUGCUAAGAAUGCCUCAAUGUAAUGAACCAGAAACUGUACCAAUCUGUGCCUGCUAUAUUGGUCCGCAGGCCUCAAGCGCUGCCUGUCACUAACUGCACCGACCUGAUCCAUCUGCCCCACAGGACGACCUAUCCAGAUAAGUACACCUCCGAUCGGUGGCCAAACCGAUCCGGUGUCAUGAAUACCCCCAAGUGCUGUGACUAAGUCAUGCUGGUAUGCUCAAACAAAAACCGGCUGAAGCCGGUGCCUAGGCCGAUGCCAACAACAAGGGCGUACAACGUCGUACUAUGAUAGAUGCUAGGGCGUACAACGCCGAAUCACGAUCAACCAGAUCGAAACACACGACAAAGGAGUCGAUGUGUUGCCUGAACCCAAGGUCCACAAAGAUGCAAUAUACAAAUACAAACUUGCUCUACAUGUCUAUCCACAACUAUCCAAAUGCAAUCAACGAGAUACGAUAACCAAACGAUAAACAAACAAUGACAUGUAGAGACUAAAAUGCUGGAAUAGAAAAACAGGAGAAGGAGGUGAAACGCUCUCACCGACUACCAGCACGAAGCACUCACCUGUCACAAUCGCGUCGGAGAAUCUGGAUGCACACAAGUUGACCGGACCUACGAAGAUCCACUAGGUCAGUAUCCAACCCACUAACCUGAAGUACACUAUCUCACAAACCCCCACACAAGUUCCCGUAAUCGGUUUCCUAAAAUCGAUCACCGUAACUCACCGGAAGUCCCGAAAAUCACACCGGGACGCCGUCGGGACCCACUAAGUGUCCCGAAACUCACCGACUCGUACCACGAGUCAUCCGCUGCCACAAAACACACCAAUUUGGAUGUCUUGGCAGCAAACACAAGAUAACACCACUACACAAUUAUCGUCGAAUAAUUGUACGAAUACGGGUUCCCGGAAGCGUCUAUUUCGACACCGGAACCCACCAUCGCUCACCCAUCAUCACGAACCCACAAAAUGAUGAUGGUGACCAGCCAACAAGGCUCAGCGACAAUUCACAGGAUAAACAAACCACGUCGGAAGAAAUCCGAACUGAAACCGCGUUCUUUCAGCGAAUUUCGCCGAAAAACGCACCGAAAUCGACUUUUCGAUUUCCGCGAAAGCUACAGGAUCAUGGACAAUCAGUCCAAAGGUCAAACACACUCAUACACACUGCCCACAGUAGCCACAAGGUGUACAAUUGCACAAAAGCCCCUAUAUUUACAUAAAAUCCAAACAUUUUAUGUAAAUCGGGCGAUAAAAUAGCUCGUUCACGCAAACCGAGGACUUCUAAAUUCAGCCGAGACACAUACUAAUAGGUCUCGAUGUGCCGGAGGCCGUGCUCAUGAUCUGGAGCGCAACGGCUCACUGUGGGAGGUGUAGAAGCAACCCGAAGUUCUGCGAAUAGCGCGCAGUCGGGGAAAAAUCACGUAGAACAGGACUAACCGGACUCUGUUGAUCCAAAGUGAGGUGACCAAUGUGAUCGGUACUGACCAACGAUCACCGUGCUCACCUCCAGAGGCAUUAGGACAGCCUCGGAUCUCUGGAUAAGCGUGCGCAAACCCAAAACAGCAGCCAAAAAGGCUCGACAGGGUCGACACCGCCGAAACAGCGGAAUAGAGUCUCCCCGGCAGAAUCUAAGGUGAGCACGAUGAUCAGCAAUUUGCUACGAUCAUCGUGCUCCCUUUCGCAGAGAUCGGGGAGGCUCGGGUUGCUCGGAAUAGUAAACCAUCCAAAAUAAGCCCUAUUUCGGGCUUGACCGGGGCAAGCUAGCUCCGGCCGGCUUCCGGCGGCACGGCGAGGCGCGCGUGGGCCAGGGAUGGGUGCGGGGGAGGUGAGGAACACGAUGCUCACCUCCGUUGGCGGCGGGGUGCGGCGGCAGCGGCGGCGGAGCAAUACCAAGCCCGCACCAACUAUGGCUCGGGUUCCACAGGCAAUGGCGGCCACAGCGGCGGCCGCGGAGCUCCGGGACGGCGUAGGAGGGUUGCUGGAGGCCGGAGGGGUGCCUCGAGUGCGGCCCCGAGCGGCGGCAGCGCAGGGAAGAAGUCGCGAGCUUGCCUCUGCCCGAUCGGGUCAGGGGCGGCUGCGGCUAGCCGAGGUGGCGACGGCGGCCCGGAGGGGCGGCGGCGAUAGGCGGGGAGGGACGCCGGAGGUCCGGGAAGUCAGUAGGGGGUGGUCCAAGGUGGCGGCGGCGCUCGGGAAAGGCUGCAGGCUUGCCUCGGCCAGGGCUUGGCCCAGCAAGUUGCAGGGUGCAGCAUCGGCGCUAGGGGCAGUUCGGGGCGGCGGCGGCCGGCGAGGAGGGUCGCCGGGGCUCCGGGAAGACGCCGGGGAAGAGACUGGAGGCAAUGCAGCCUCGGCCAAGGCUCCAACCUGAUAAGAAAAGAGAGAGAGAUGGAGAGAGAUGGAGAGGGAGCUACAGGGAGAUGGAACCUCCUUCUCCGACGACCGGCAGCGUGCGCCGGCGGCUGGGGCGUGCGCCGUGCACUCAUGGGAGGGAGUAGAAGGUGGCGAGGUGCGGCUAGUGUUAGGGUUAGGGUUAGGGGAUCAAAAAACCCUAGGAGCUAUAUAUAUACCAAGGUGCAACUUUGCGAGUUAGCCCCCCAAACCUCAGUAUUUAAUACUGAGUCCUUCUCAGCCCGUGUAAAAUGCGCGAACACACUUCCACGUCCAGUUUCACGCGAAACGAUACAUAAAAUAUCGCAACUUUUGCAAAAAUACCGUUUUGCCAUCACCGACCUCUCCUCGAUCGACGCGCAAUCUUCGCAGAUCCGUCCGUCAGAUUUGUGAACGGAUCACACUAGUACGAUCAGCACGACGGGGACAACAAAGCUACGAUUUUGGUUCACCUUGAUCGAUCACGGAUUCGCGACGAAAUCCGCUUUCUCUCCAAAAGGCCAAAAUGACGCACAAAUACAUAUAGAACAUGUAUUUUCAGAUUUUCUCGAAAUCCGUGCGUCAAACCGAAAAUCCGUCAGCGCCAUUUGUUUCAGAAUAGCUGAAUCAUUCGAAACGAGCUAUUGGACUGCUAUGAACGGAGUCUGAUACAAGUCUGAAGCCAACUUCACACCGUGGCUUCUCCGGAAAACCAAGUUACUAUUCACUUUAAGUGAAACUUGGAAAUCGCGUAGAAUCUCCAUUUUAACUCGUUUUCUUUCGAAACUUGAUGAGUGCUUUUGUAAUAAAAUUACACAUAGAAACAUCGUCAACUGAGAGUUUAGCUACACUGCAAAAAUCUCAGUUCUUACAAGCUGGGAGAGUUGGUCAUGGAUCUCCACUCCCUCAUCCUUCUUGGCUCGGUACUGCAUUUGGAGAGAGUCAAGCUCUUAUGACGUGCAGGCUAGAACCUUUUCUGUUUUGGCAAGCUCCUCCUGGGCAACCCUCUGUCGAAGAGCUAGCUCUUCGUCUUUUAAGACGUCGCUCUACUUGUUGAAGUCGAUUAAAGAAACUGCAAACUCGGUGGCCUUCGCCUUACAAGAGCUGACCAAUGAAAAAUGGACAUCCAUGGAUACUCGGCAAAGAUUGCUUGUUAUCAAGAUAGGAAAAAAGAAAAGAAGGCAGACAACACCUCCGUAAAGCAUCACCCCGAAGAGAAUAUGUCAGAUUGAUCUAGGAGGUCGCUAAGAAGAGCCCCAUGCCAAUCAAACUAAGCCGGACUUUGAGCCAAAGUGGAAAGACCACUAUUGUAUAGCUACAAGCAUUCAUCCAAUUUUCUCUUGGUUUUAGCUGAUACAACAAUUGGGAAGUCCUUUUCGUUGGAUAUGAGGCUCGAGACGGUUAGCUCUUGGAGAGAGAUUGCCAAAGCAUUCUCCGAUCCACUAAAAGACAUAGGAUCACCAGUGCUUGCGUAAGAACGGAAGUCGAGGCUUCGAUCGGAGGUUUAUCAGUAGAAGCUAAGCUAUUUCUCUCUCUCAUCCUGAUUUUCUCUUCUUCUUUCCUCUUUUCCUCCUCUUUCCUUCUUUCUCCCUUCCGGUUCUUUUCUUCACGAGCUUCCGUGCGAGCUCGCCUGUCCCAAUGAUGAAUCUUUGCCUUAAGUUUCGAGACAAACUAAGCACUAAAAAUUUCCAUUGCUGGGCUGCCAGUUUGUGUUGUCAGGAUGGUGGAGGUACUUCGACUGGGAAGUGAGGAGGAGAAGGGAAAUAAUCAAAUGGGUCAAUGACCUACCUCGGUCAAUGACGAAGCUUGCUGCAGGCUCUCUUCAGCAGGGAUCGUUUCUGGAGGAGUCCUUGUUGGGGCUGAUUCGGGUCCUUCCUCAGGCGCGCUGGAAGGUGUGGAGAUCGAAGGAGGUUGAGCCGAAGGAACUACACCAGAGAUUGGCUCUUCAACCUUAAAGGGUGGUUAUUCAUUGGCUAAUGUGGGGGCCGGCUGAGAGCGAAGCCUGCUCAAAACCAAUUUUCGCCGUUUCUACUGCAGCAGAGGAGCUGGAGAAGUAGCUUCGAUCGUCCGUUUUUUCGACGGCCAAACUGGGGGAUCGAAAAUACGAAGCGGCUGAGAAGAAUGAAAGAAAAAAAGCCGAAAAAUAUAGUAAAAAGUAGAUGCACCAUAAAAAGUAAAAUAUACUAUUAGAUGGCAAAGGAAAACAUCCGCCUUCUUGUCAGAAUCCUCGCUUGAAUCCUUUUGCUUUGGGGAGUCGGGCAUGACUUCUUUUUCCUUAGAAGUGCUGGCUGAGACGAAAAAUAAAAUGAAUCAAAAAAGUAAGGCUCAAACAAAAAGAGGUUGAAAAAGAAAAAAAAAAAAACUCUGUGUGGUGGAAGCAAUGAAGGCGAUUUGCUAAGAACACGACAAACAACCCCUCACAAAAGCUAUUCCACGCGAGCCGAAAAAGUGCUUCUAUCAAUCUCGUACUAUCCGACCGAAAGCCUAUAGGAGUGAAGAACUGCCUAAGUUGAUUCUCCAUAGCCAAGAGCCGAUCUACUUCGGCUACUCCUUUAGUAGGGAGACAAGAGCGAGAGGUAUUGACUGUGAAAAAUUUGAGCAGAACCGAGAGUGAUUGGACUAAACCAAACCAAUGGGCCACAAAAUGCUGGCAGUAAACUUCCGUACUAGGAGUCAUCUUGAAGCGGGUCUUUAGACCAAUAUGGAGAUCCCGCGAUGCCAGAAAAGAGUACCAAACCUCGGAGUGUUCAGUGGCAUUAGAAGAGGCCAUUUGAUUCUAGACAGCUUCAACCGUGCAAUGAACCAAGUCGAGUCAAUCAGUCACUCACCGAAUGGGGCCCAGUUGAUGAGGUAUCGGGUGUCCUUGGAGUAGAAGAUCCAGAAGUACGUUAGAAAGUCGAUAGGCUAGCCUGAAGUGAAAGGCUCUAAUAGCUAAGGGCUAGCCCAUAAGUGUCGAAAUAAGGAGCCGAAUCUUGAUCGAGGGUGUUCGGCAUAAAGUAGAAAAGUGAAAUUGUAGGAAAAACUUGUCACACCCUAAUAAUCCCAUAUCGAAUAUGAAUGGGCAUGUGAUUGGGUAUAUAAGAGACUUAAACACUGAUAAUAAUAACUGGGCUUAAGCAUUUUGGGUUGGUGGUUUUGCGUCCAACGAGUUAUUGUUGCUAGUGGGUUGGGUCGUUACAUUUGGUAUCAGAGCCAAUCACCAGCCAAAAAUGUGUGGCGAGUCUCGGCUGAGCCAGGGUCUGAAAGACAAGGUGAUAGGCUAUGCCGGAGUCUGUAUGACAAGGUGACCGGUUAUGCCAGGGUCUGGAUGACAAGGCUAGCGAGACGAGUUUCACAUCGCUUGGUGAUCUUGGGCUGUGUAUGUAACUAGACUGACGAGGACGUAAGGACCUUAAUGGGGGGAGUAUGUCACACCCCAAUAAUCCCACAUCGGAUAUGAAUGGGGAUGUGAUUGGGUAUAUAAGAGACUUAGACAAUAAUAAUAAUAACUGGGCUUAAGCAUUUUGAACUGGUGGUUUUGGGCCCAACGAGUUAUUGUUGCUAGUAGGCUGGGUCGUUACAUUUGGUAUCAGAGCCAAUCACCAGCCGAAAAUGUGUGGUGAGUCUCGGCUGAGCCAAGGUCUAAAAGACAAGGUGAUAAGCUAUACCGGAGUCUGUAUGACAAGGUGACCGGUUAUGCCAGGGUCUGGAUGACAAGGCUAGCGAGACUAGUUUCACAUCGCCUGGUGAUCUUGGGCUAUGUGUGUGACUAGACUGACGAGGACGUCAGAACCUUAAUGGGGGGAGUCAGUCACACCCCAAUAAUCCCACAUCGGAUAUGAUGGAAAUGUGAUUGGGUAUAUAAGAGACUUAGACACUAAUAAUAAUAACUGGGCUUAAACCUUUUGGGCUGGUGGUUUUGGGCCCAACGAGUUAUCGUUGCUUGUGGGCUGGGUCGUUACAAAACUGGAGGAACCACAAGACACUGCAGCCCAAACUAAUAACCAUGCCGCUCUUCCACGGCAGCGACUUGAUCGACUCGAAAAUAUCUCAGUAAAGAAAUAAGAGGAAAUACGAGCCGAGGGCCAACUUUCGUCAUAAGCUCCCAAUUGAUCUUUUGCGAUCGACUGCAGAAGAGCUUAUAGUAGAGUCACCAGAGGAGGAAAAUGUUGUGCUUCUUUCUCGUGACUGGAUUGGGAGCUUGACCGGCGAACUACUGCAUAAAUUUGGUAUAGGUUAGGUCUGUUAGAUGUAUGCCCUAGAAGCCAACCAGGCCGACACAUGUAUUCUUUCUAGGAUAUAAAUUUGUAUUUGACUUUAAAAUAUUAUGAGUAAAUUUGGGUUUCUAUUUCCAUUCAUGUUGUGUAUAUGUCCAUGAAUCGUCUAAGAAAUUAAUAAGAUGAUGACAUAUAUUCUCAAGAGUUGAGAAUUUGAGACAUGUGUCAUUGGUGGUUAAUUCCUAAAUGCUCCCGAUCAAUGGAUCAUCACGGAGACGGUGAUUGAUCCGAUGAGAUUAGUGCAUAGGUCGCUUAUCUUUUUGGGUAAACGAGUCUCGAGUCGACAGUGUAGGGACACUGAAGCAAAUAUGCAGGUGGUUGUUAGAGAACAAGGGUACCGAGCGUGACCAACGCGAGAAGUCACUUGGAUGUCUACUCACUCGUCAGUGACUUACUCAAUUGUUGCAGUAGUGUGACUGGUCCUUUGACCUNCUCCGGUGCCUCGGCUAUUCACAAUGAGAUUACUGUAGUUUGACUGUACAUACACUUGGUCCCUAGCCAUUCGGGUCCUUGCAGUGCAUGUUGGCUACAGUAGGUUUAUUAUAGGAAUAGGGUGCGCACUUUGAUGGAAUCUAUCUCCCUUGGUAGAUAGGGGUGUUAGUCUUAUAUGAUUUAUGAGACCGAGUUUAGAAGACCUUGGCCAGGGCGGAGUUAAUAGCGGAAAAAGGUUUCCGAUAUUAAAAACUCGAGUCGAAUAAAUUUAACAUAUGACAGACGAUGGGGUUUGACGAGUUAUUCCAUAACCUCCGUCUGGUCGGGACUUAUAAUAGAAGGACUGUAUCACAUGGUAACUGUACCAAGAGGUUUAUUAUUCCAUUCAAUUACAAUGCCACUACAUGCUGCCAGGUGUCACUGGUGGAUUGUGAGACUCAUGAGAAUUAUCUAGAUUAUCGAUAACUCUCAUUGGGUUGCGUUGGAAUUGUUUCGACUCACUAAAAGGAGUUUCAGUAAUAUUGUUGAUAGUGAUCAAAAUAUAUCUCACUACUAGAUAUAAUAGAACCUAUGAGGUCACACACAUAAGAGGUUGUAAUUGAUCGGAUAGCUAGAUCGCGAUUAUUGAAUCGUCGAAGGACCUAAUUAUCAAUAUGUUGAUAAUUGGACUAAUUUAUAAUUAUUACAAAUUAGUGGUAUUAAAGUGUAAAUGUUACAAGAGAAAACUUACUAAUAGUUAGUAAAUUAUAAGAGGACUUAUGUGUAAAUAUUGCAUUAUUAAUUUGAUAUGAUCAAAUUAAUAUAAAAUUCAAAUUGAAUCAAAUUAGGAUUUGAUCGAUCUAACUAAUUAAGAAAUGGAUAAAUUUAAAUGAAGAUUUGUACUUAUCUUUAAUGAUUAUUAUAUUAUUAUAUUCCUCUAUAUAAUAAUAUGGGAGUUUUUAGAAAAUCCUAACCGUCAUCUCUCUUCUCCUCUCUUUUUCAUAUUCUAGCAAGAAAGACAUCCUUUUGCAAGGGAGCUAGCACCCCGGUGAGGACAUCGAUCAAAUCAAGAACCUCGCGUUGAUACCUAUAGAGACCGGACACGUGUGCGGCUUCAAGAGAAUCCGAUUCCACGAUCAUCAAAUUGAGGCGAAGAUUUAUCCGCGAAAAAGGUAAAGAUUCGAUCUUGCUUUUCUCCUUUAAUCUUAAAAAACAUGAGGGUCCUAAUUGCGUGGUUUUUGAGAUUGGAUCUCGAGAGUUUUCAAAAUCAAAUUUGUUUGAUUUUUUUUUUCCGCUGCGUUUUUACCAUAUGCAAUUUUCUAACAAGGUCUACCUUCAGAUCCAGAAAGCCUCGAACUCUAUCACGCCAUCAGGGUUAUAAGCUAUGCAUAGAAGAGGGUUGCCGCCAUAUCGAAGAGGAUCGAAGUGAAAGGCUCCAAUCAGAAAAGAAAAGUGUUUGAAGUAGAGGACCAAAAAUAUAAAGUCGUAGCAAGAAGAAGAUUAUCAACUUGAAGGGAGGUCCUCGAUAGGUAGAUGGCAUCGUAAAUUCCAACUUCAUGCCACAAGGGAGCAAAGGUUCCUUCGACUCAAUUAAAUCAGGUCAGGUAUGUGUCCGAGACGCUAGGUUGGGUAUGAAUGUUUUUCUCUGAUGACUUCGAGAAAGACCAAGAAUGGAGAGGAACAGUAUCCACCAUUAAGGGAAGUCUUUUUGUAGAAAAAGAAAAGACAUCAUCCUUAGAAGACCCAAUGAAGAAAGGGUCAAGGACGAAGCGGGCAAGGUCAACCAUAGACGGUUUCAAAAGAUGAGAAAUGACAUUAGGAGAAGACGGAAGAGGAGGAAUCCGAUCCAUAGGAAAAGAAAGAUUCUGGAAGGAAGAAAGAGUCGAAAGAAAAGAGUCGAGGAGGAAUUGAUAAACCAUUAUUAGCUUCUCUUAACAACCAUUUAGGUAUACCUAAAUGCUAUUUUUUCAAUUUUUUAUUAUAUUGAUCCUAAUAUCUAUCAUUCACAUGGUGCAAUACCAAUUUAUUUGAUUAUGAGUUGCUAAAUUAUUAUCAUUUAAUAUAUCUACAACUCAUACUAGGCAUUAAAUAGAUUUUUUUCCUAAUUUCUUUCAAAAUACAUUCAUUUAUAAUAUUUAUUAAUUUUUCAGUUGUUAAUUAUUAGAAUUUAAUAUAUCUACAACCCACAUUAGGCAUUAAAUAUUUUUUUUCAAUUUCUUUCAAAAUACAUUCAUUUAUUAUAUUUUAAUAAUUUUUCAAUUGUUAAAUACUGUUAAUUAUCAUCAUAAAAUUUCAUCAUGACCUUUCAUUUCUAUAACCUAUACUAACAAUUAAAUAGAUUAUUUAUUUUCUUUAAUAUCUCAUUUUUUUUGUUUAAUUCUGUAGGUCUACUCGAAUUCUUUUAAUAUUCACUAUACACUUAAGAUUUAAUAAGCUUCUUCUAAUAUAAUAAUUAAUAAAAAAAUUUUAUAUUUGCCUUACGUUUACAAUGUGCAAAUGGUAGCAAUUUAUUAUAAGUUUCAUUCAAAUAAUUUUUAUUUUAUAUAAAUUAUAUCUUUGGUUAAAAACUACCCUCAACGUCCUCCCCAUUUUUAGUUCCUUUUUAUUCCUUCUCAGUUCAAUAAAAGCUCUUCAAUUUUAUAUAAAUGUCUACCCUUUUACUAAUAUACAUACUUAUUCUUCAACUUAGCUAGUUUUAAAUCAAUUGGUAUAGUCUAUCUCUAUUUUAAUAAAAUAAAGAUUGAAUAAUAAUACAUGCAAGUGUUUAUCUGACAGUACGUACACAGGAAUUAAAGGUACGAGUUUUUCUUCUACUUUUUAGUUUUUUUAAUACAUUUUGUGAUAAUAUUAUAUUAUUUAAAGCUUUAAAUGUUAGUUUUAUAUUGUCUAAUUUAUCUUUUUAAGUUAAAGAGAGUUGUUUUUCUUUUUGUAAUCCAUUUUUUAAAAAUGAUUUUUUGUAAUUAACGUCUGAUAAUAAAAAGCUAUUCCAUAUUUCUACCCGCGAGAAUUACUAUAAUAAAAAUAAAAUUACAGAUAAGAUAUAUGUUGAUUUGUAAAUAGAUAUAUUAUUUAAAAUAUUUAAAAUUAACAAAAAAAUAAUUGUUAGAACUACUAAUUUAAUUGGUUUUUUUUAAUUAAAAACUAUUAAAAUUAUCAAAGAAGGCACUAUAAAUAAAAUCUAGCGUAGUUCGCAAAUAGAGAAUAAAGUUUGGCUGCCUAUAAAUCAACUACGUACCAAAUAAUAUUAUUUAGUAGGUUUACAUUUUAAAAAAAUUAUGUUUUUAUAAAAUUGUUUUAAAAAUAACUUAAAAAUUCAAAAUAUAUUAUUUUCUAUAAUGUUAAAAAAUAAAAUAAUUUUUAAUCCCGUGCACUCGCACGGGUCAUUUACUAGUAUUAUUAUAUAUAUUACUCAUACACAAUAUAUAUCAAUUUAUGAGCCUUACUCAUAGUAGAUAACUAUUAAAUUCAAGUGUUUUUCAAAUAAAAAACGCAGUAGAGUAUACCAUUAAUUUACCAUGUAUGAUCUCUUAAAAAUUUCUGAUUGCUUACAUGCGACUGGACUGGACCAUUAACACUCUGCUGAGAUGAACUGCUCUGAAGCAAUGGAGCACCGGAAUUGAUUGCGAGAAUUUCCCCUUCUGCCAAUUCGGCAUAACUAGAUUAAUGCAAAUUAACAUGUAACGGACAAUACUGAAUGAAUCUCCCCAUUGAGGACCAGUCGAGCUAAAAAAUUUGAGAUGCACAGCUCUGAAUUGCAAUAAAUGUGAUACAUGGACUCGGUAUAUAGGUAUAUUUAUACUGAACGUAGUAUUUAGAACGACAUGUAAAAUCAAAUACUAACUCGAGUUAUAUAGGGUGCAUAUAUAGAGGUUUCAGAUUAUAAUUUUUUAGCAACCAUUAUCUGGACGUCAAGUAUUAUAAUUCCAAAAAUCGACGACUGACAGAAAAGAGCAUUGAUUAUUAAUUAGACAUAGGCAGUCAGUUUUGAUUAAAUAAAAGCUGCUGUUUAGGGAUUUUCUUUGUCUGAAAAAUAUCUAAAGCUAAUACAGUGGAAGUGCGGUAAAGUGAGAUCAAGCAAAAAAGGUGAAAAAGAUAGCCAAUGCCUUGCAAAUUUUAUCACUAAAUGGGGAAAAACAUAAGAGAUCAUGUGGAUACAUAAUAUGAGAUAAUUACUUUCUGCUGAUUAUUUGACAUUUGAGUUUUGUUUGCUAAUUAUUUGUUCCGGCUCUAACCACCAAAAACGUUUUUGAUUCAAUGUAUUAGUAAAUGAAUAGAAAGAAUCUAACAAAAAAAAAAGUAUUGACUCCUAAGAUUUAGGAGAACAAUCACACAUAUAUUCAUAUCCAACACACUAUAUCACAAAUCCAUCAACAUGGCCCUCAGAACCAUGUGUUUAAGGAAAUUGUAAUAAAUAACUUAGUUAUUUAAGAUGCUUAGAUAGGUUGGGAGAAUUACGGAACUUAUGAAAGUCGGAUGAAUAGGGUUCGGCUCUGAUGAUGAAAGAAAUAAAAACGAAUUGGAUAAUAGGUAGACAAUUAGAUGAAAAGAAGAGAGAAUCAGCCAUUGAGAAGGAAACGAAAGAAAUAAGAAUUAAGAGAACAAGGAACCAUUUAGGAGUUGUAGUAGUUUUGAUACAUGUCCGAGCAACACAACACAAAAUCAAUGUAAAGUAAUUAAUCUAUCUGUAAAACGCUACCAAUAUGGUGUAAAAACUUACAACUUAUUGAGCUUUUUGUGCAGCUUUACCAACCUACUCAUACUUAUCACUUUUUUUUAACGCUAAAUUUACAGCGAAAACUCUACGUAGAAUAUAUUAAUUUUUUUCACUUUCUUAUCUGACUCUCAAAAUUUAUUAUUUUGCUCCGCUUAAAAUAUUAUAGAAAUAUUUUCAGAAUGAUAUCGGCAUAAUAAAGAAGUGCAAAUGACCAAUUCUUUUUCUUCAUCAUAAAGAAAUAUUAUUUUUAAAUAUAUUUUGUUCAUUUUAAAAGCAUUCUUAAGUAUAACAAUUAUAAGAAUGGAUGAAAUAGUAAUCCAACUCCUGAAGAAGGAAGCUAUAAUGCAAGAAAUUGAAAUGUUAAGGGAUAAAUUAAUUUGAAAGUUAAGGAAAGAGAAAGUAAAAAGGUAGAUAUUUACAAAGAUUUCUUGUAAUUAGAAUUUUUUUCUUCCUUACUAAAACAUCCAAAGUGAUCAUAACCUUAUUUAAGUUAAAAUAUAUAUGUACACUCCUUAUAUUCGGUGUAAUAGGUGCAUUCCAAAUAUUUACGUUCAAAUUGCAUGUUGUCUUCAAACAUUCUACCCCUCAUGAAUUGAUUUAACUUUAACUUUAAAUUAUUGUAAUUUUCAAUAAAAAUUGAAUUCUAUUUUAAUUAGUUAAGUAAUUUAAUUCACUUCGAUAUUCUGAUGUCACUUGUGAGAGGUCAGGAAUAUGGCAACCGCCAAUCUUAACAAUAUGUCGUGUCAAUGAUUACAAAUUGCCACAUUUUUACUAGCAUUGAGCUGACAUAUUAUUAUGUCCAACAAUUGGACAUAAUACUUAAUAAUUGACAAUGAUUUGAGAGUUUUAAGCUUAAAAAUCGAUAAAAUACAAAGAUUUGGUGAUCAAUAGGCCUCACACACCCUCAAAAUUUAGGAUCUAAAGUGGCAAAUUUAGGCCAAAAAUUUAAUGUAAUCACACCGUCCUUGUUCUGAAUGAUAGACUAAUAUUUAUGCAUUAUAUGCAAUAUAUAUAGUACCAAUGUACUGCUGAUAUCAAUAUUUAUAUCUCCAUAACAUGUAUCAUCACCGUUUUGAGUUGGCUAUAUUUUUACUGAUAUCUAAAAUCUGGAAUCAAAUGAUGAUCAUUUGUGGGUGUUUGUCACGCGAGUCCACAUUGCGAUUCCGAUUGCCGAGGGAAAUGAAUGCUCCCUACCUCUUUUUUCAUUCAGCCUAGAUGCGCGAUGUGAAUUGAAUCCGGGUCGAAUGGAUAUUAUUCGGAUUAAAUUAUUUUUUCAACUUUUUUAAUUAAAAAUGAGUUAAAAUAAAAUUAAAUAUUAAAUUUUAAAUUUUAAUUUGAACUCAAAUUAAAAUAAAAUAUUUAAUCAAUUAUUGUACGAAAUCUACUAUAUUUGAAUGAAAUUAAAUUUAAAUUAUUAAGUUUAUUCAAAUUUUAUUAAAUUAAACUUAAAAUUUCCGUAAUUUUAAUUGAAUUGAAUAUAAUCAAAAUUUAGUUGACCAUAUUUGAAUAAUGACAUUCAACUUCAAAGUUAAUUUUUUUAAAAAAGGAUUAAAUUUUGACAUUAUUACAUCAUUAAUUUUAAUAUAAAAUUUUUUUUUUUUUUUUUUUUUUUUUUUUUUAAUAUUUAAUAUAUUAAUUUAAAUUUAACUUAAUAAUUUAAGGAUACGUUAGUAUAUUUAAUUUUGAUUAACGUUUUUUAUAUCACUUGAACUAACACAGAAGUAUCUAAAUGAAAUGAUUAUUCUGAUUCCGAUCAGUGAUGAACUAAAAGAAUUAGUAAUUGAGUCAUACGUCAAUUCCACUUAAUUAUUGAUUCCGAUUUCGAAUUCCGAUUCAACUCUUCGACCUUGAACCAAAUCACGCGGCGCCUGCCCCGACUAUAGAUCUUCCCAUUGGUGAGAUAUUCUUAAAUCAGCAUCAACUAGUGUUUAAAUUCAAGGUGUUCAUCACAAAAUGAAAUGCAUGGCAAAGAGUACAUUCUCACCUAUGGUCGGCUCCUCAUUUAAAAUUUUGUCCUUAGGGAGCAUCAGAAGUCUGACGAAAUGCGAGUGUACUUAGGACAAUGGACUGUUGGCCCAUCAUGCCUAGUUCGAUUCCUCGAUCAUCAGUUGAGAUGGUGUUCCGGGCUUUGAACGACAAUCGUAACUGAGUCUAUUUCUAGCUUUUAUAAUAAAGAUUGAAUGGAAUACAUGCAAAGUGUUUAUCUUACAAUACCAUCAGUAAUUAAAAGGAAGAGUUAUCUCUAUAUUUUUAGUUUUUUAAUACAUUUGUAUAAUAUUAUUUAUUUAAAACUUUAAAUUAUUUUAUAGUCCUAAUUUAUCUUUUUAAUUAAGGAAGUUUUUUUUUUUGAUAAAACAGGAAUCUACACUAUUUGAAAAUGUACAAGGCAAGAGAGGAAAUGGAAGGAAAAGAGUGGAAGGAGUACGUAACAAUAAGCCCCACACGAAUCGAUCGCAUCACAUGGAUAUAGAUAAGAGUCAGCGAUCCACACUCUGUCGAAGAAACCAAAAACGACCCGUGCAAUCGUAUUUAAUCUUCUUUUGGUCCAAUUUCGCUCGUUUGUCUGAUUUGAAAAUUCUUCCUUUUCGCUCUUUCCAUAGCUCCCAGAAUCUCUCUGAUUUACGAUGUGUGAGCAUCUUUGGUUUGCCGCUGUAGUAGUUUCCUUGCUACUGCACAUCGAGCUCUAUCCCAUGACCGUUGGCGGACUCAGAUGUUGUGCUUAUGGUGGGAACGAGUGAAUAGUGAAAUCCACAAGGAUCUUUAGUUUUUUAGUUGCAUAGGUGCAGUUUAAAUAGAAAUCUCGAGAGUUUCGAAUUCGAGUUUGCACAGCACGACAAAACAGAUGGCCGUGCCAACAUUCGGUUGAUAGACGUCGACUGUUAGCACACUUCUUCUCGCUGCAAGCCAUAAGAAUAAAUUGACUCUAAGAGGUAUAUAAUAUGUUUCCACAAGAAGGAUUAGCAACAUUGAUGGAACGGUAGACAAGAGAGUCAUAUAGCGCUUCGUGCAAAACUGCCAGUGAGUCAUCGCAAACAGCAGAAUGCCGAAGAGGGUUGAAAAGAUAAGUGCUAAUCAAAAGGGUAAUUCUGACAAGCUCAACAGGACUUCGGCACUGCGUUCAAAAAUAAAUACAUGUGCUAUCCGUGCUAACUGAAAGCGUUGAUCCACAUAUGAACUUGAGAGAUGCGUGAGUUGACAUCAUAAGGUUGGGAAAAGCGUUCCGUGAGGUUAUCAUCGCAACUAAUCGCGCGUCAGAAGAUGUUACUUCUCCUUGCCCGAGGGAGAAUGACAGUAUUCGAGAAAGGUUUUGCGAUGCUGAAUAGACUCCAAAACUGGCUGGGCAACGAGAAGCAAAGCUAGAAAGAUCCAGAGCUGUUGUUGUAUGCUUUAUUGGCAUAUGACUGAACCAAUGCCUGCUAUUAGAGUUAAGAAGCUCAAACUUUCAUAACAGGCAAGCGGCAUCUUGCAAGCCCUGUGAGGUUACCAUUCGAGCCCCUCUUAAGUUCCGCAACAUUUCCCAUUUCUCAGUCCAAUGGAAGCACGUUGUUGGCCGUUACCCUCCAGAAGAAGCCACGUCGGUUUUGUCGAUGGCUUUAUGACUCCAUGCGAAAGAAGAACUGGAGCAGAAGAAGGCAGGAUGAUGAUGAUACUCAGAAUGGAGAUACAAGGCGACUCCUCUAGAGAGCGUGGCCCCCUUCAUCCGCAAGGCAGAAUCAUCUUCUCGAGGAGCGUAAAGGUAAUCAGCUUUGUGAAACUGUUGUAAAGUGAGCCAGGUAGGUUAAAAGGAAAGCAUUGUUUGGACAGCCAAACAGUUUGCUAAGUCUAAGAACUUCGUAAGUAGACAGGUGAUGGGGAUAGGCGCUCUGCGUAUUUAAUCUUAAAUCCGAAAUGUCGGUGAAGCUCAAGAUUCUUACAGUAGCGCUGCUGUGUGUGUAAGGACUGAGAUUAUUGACAGUGCAACUAAACUUCUCUUUGACGAUUUAUAGGUUGUAUAUUUAAUUCUCUAAUAGCACCGUAAGUUUCAGGAGAAAACGAGUAGAACAAGAGAAUUUACUUGGAUUAUUAUUUUCAGUUAAAGUGAAUAGUAACUUCUGGUUUUUCGUGAAGCACGGAUGAGUUGCUUUCGCCGUAUCGACUCCAUUUCAUAGCGAUCCAAAUGCUCUUUCGACCGGUUCACCUUAUUCUGUACCAAUGCAUCCCCCGACGGAUUAUUAUCUACGACGCACGAUCUUUGGAAAGGGGAUUUUAAUGAAACCGAAGAGGUUUUCGUCUUUUGUGUUUCGUCUCGCAUAAUGAGACUCAUCGUGCUCGUGUAUUGACGAGAUAGUAAGGUAGGGAUGUUCAUUCCUACUAGUGGUAGGAGAUUCAAAUUUUGAAUUUGAAUCUAGAUAGUGGAUUACACAUUGGUUAUAGUUUUGUUUUGAAAUUGAAGAGCGGACGGUUUCUCUCGGCGAAAUUUCGUGACCCGAUCUGAUUUGAACUUCAAAAUCGUAGUUAUAUUGACCCCGUCGGCUGAACGGCGGAGGUCGCACAUCGUUCGGAUUUGAUGACGAUUGCAUAUAUCGAAUGUUUUCGAAAAGGGUUAAGUGAUGAUAAUUGGAAUUUCGCAAAAGUCCCUAUUUUAUGUACCGAAUCGCGCGACAAUCAGACGUGUAGGCUGCGUACUUUAAAUUAAUUCGCUAUGUGAAGGAUUGAAUUUCUAAUAAUCAGUUUAGUAGGUACUCUGUUGCAAAGUGACAAUCAUCUAUGACUUUCUAGGUUUAUCAUGGAAAACGCUAUCUGUUCAGUUUCCCCAGCACCGACCUCCUGCGAACAUCUGGAUUUGCCCUAGCCGUCGCGCGCGAGCGGGGGGACGACGCCCGGCUCUCCGCCCGCCAGAAACCCCUCACAUAUCUUCAUUUACCUACCCUCCAUCCUCCUCAGCUUCUUUGACUCAGAAAGCACCCAUGAUCGAACCUGCGUCUCUGGUCAGAAGAUCCCUCCGGUGUCAGCUCGCGCACCGCUCGCUGUGUGGCCCGCCGGCCCCCGCGCCUGCUGAGCCACCUUGCUCUUGCAACGCCGCAGUCACCCAGUCGAGCUCGGUAUCCACUGCCCGUACGUCUGCGUGCCGUCCCAUCGCCGCUGUGCGCCCUCUCGGUGACCUCUGGCGUGCCCGGGCGCCAUCGCCGCCAGCUCCGGCGCCUAGCGGGCCGCAGCUCUCCCCCUCCUCUCCGCCGGCGCCAAUCCUUGACGUGCGAGAUGGUCUUCGACACAUCGCGCAAUCGCGCACCUCGCACAUAGGUGUGCCGACCUACCUUGACCUCCGGUCCGCACGUGCGCCGUCGCUCCGACUCCCUCGGCGCCGCCAUGCCUCCGCUUAACCUUGAGCCCGUGAUGAAACCCCGCCGCUGAUGAUUCUGUUUGUCCAGUACCGUGCCGCAGCAACGCGUUCCGCCGCGAACGCGUGAGCACAGGUCAGGCUGGUCCGGCCGACGUCGCUCGUCGCGCCUGCGGCGCCGAUGCUCCCCGUCGUCGACGAGCCCGUGUUUAUUUGGGUUUGGUGCUAGGGCAUCAUUGCGUCGUCGCGCCCGCUGCCUCCCGUCGCUGGCUUGACGCAGCGCACGGCCAACCUCGACUGCCGCACCAACCCUGUCCGGCCUGCCCGAAGUCACGUCGCUGCAGGCGCACUCGUGCCCUGCUAGCUCUUAAGCUUGAUUUAGUUCCUACGCAUAGAUCUGCCUUUCUUUCAUGUUCCGUGUGCACCCGGCCAUUACCGAUGCCUCGGGGUCAGCAUGAGUGAUCCCUCUGUCAGAUCCUGAUCCAUAGUUCUUCCUCAUUUUAGAGUCAACGAUCCCCUGGUUAUCGAAUAAGCAAUCUUUUCCUGCUCGGCGCUGCAGUUUUCACUAUUUUCGUAUCGCUUAGCGCGUGCAGUGGCCGCAUUAGCUCCGAAAGUAGCACACCUCCGACAUAUAUCGAAACUCAAGAGGGUUCCGGUUUAGGUCUAAAUUACUUCUGUUUGUGCAGACGGACCAUAAAAACGGUCGAAUCGCACUAGAAAAUAAGGAUUUCGGUACUCGGAAGGUCUUAUGCAUUGGGUUGAUGCGCUAGUGUGCAUUUCAUGGUGAGUUAAUGGUAACACUUUGACUGAUUGUCCAAGGCACCCAAGCCCUAUAAGGAGAACCGUAAAGUGAUUCCAUGCGUCUCGCUAAAAUCCCCGACGGAUACCGGUUUUGGUUCGGAUUAUUCGACGGUACUGCAUGUGAUUAUUUGCGUCUCGCUGAUUCGUGUUGCUGGUCCCCGUCGUUUCGAGGUUCGAAAACUGAAGGUGAGCGCGGGAAGUUACGUGGCGUUUUUCGAGAGCUUCCGCUUGUUCGGUAAUCGGUUUUGGGAACCGGAUUCAUCGUGAUUCUGUGAUGGGAUUGUGUGUUAUGCCGAGUCAUGUUAUGGUUCAGAUUCUAACCCGUUGGAACCUUUCGUAGGUUCGCAAUUGUCAUCUUCACAAGUUCGAGAAGAUCUCGUCAACAUUACAGUGUACUUGAUCCGAAGUCGGUAAUGGUGUCACGCUCGUCAAUCUUAUAUCUUCUUUCUUCUCUUAUUACUAUUGUCAUAGUAAUAGUAAAAUUUAGCUUGCAUACCCUAUUGUUAGAAUCUUACACUACCGUUGUUUGCAUGAUUAGUAUUACUGAGUAGAGUAAGUAGUUAACAAGUUUCUUGUUCUCUACUUACUAUUCGCAUAUUUGUAUCAUAAUUUAGAGUAAGAGCGUUCGCGAUUCUUGUAGAUCGGCGACCUAGUCGAUCGUUCCUUGACUCUCGUCGUGUCGAUCUGACUAUGAAGUGGUGUACCCUGAGUAAAUCCGCGCUUGUGGCUGACGAGUAGCUUCUAGAUAUAUUGAUACCUCUUGAAACCUAUGUUAGUUGCUUGAUUUAUAAGUUUUAGUUACCAUAAAUUGAGCCAUAUUUCCAUAUACUUUGAGAGGAUUUUGAGUGUUCCAUCCCUACUACCUGAUGAACGUUCUUGUAUCCUAAAGUUGGAUGACCUUUGUCGGUUAGCCCGCGAGGGGAUACUGAUUGUCGCUGUUGCAAGACCGUUGCUAUGAUCAUAUCCGCAUUGAUCUCCACAAUCGAGUGAAUUCAGUACACGCAGCAAGUUGAUCACCCAGUAGAAUCGGUUCAUUCGAAAAUGUCUACAAAAUCGACCCGUGAGCCCAGCGUGUUCUCUUUGUCUAGGUUUAUGCCAUCGGUGUGAGCAGUAGUGGCUUUUGACUGUAGGUCUUAGAUCGAACAUGGUUUAGAUUGGAUACUUGACUCUCUCUCGUUGUCAUAUAGCUAUAGUAGCGUUGUUUGCAUAUAUAACUUAAAUUUUUCUUUAAUUGUCUGCUCUAUGGGCGUUUAAUUGACUUGUAUGCUGAGUUCAACAUUAUAAGCGUAUUUUGACUUUCAUAUAUUAUAUAUAAUAGAUAUAUUCUUCAUUCGUCAAUGUUGCUACUGUAUUCACUUACCAACGUUGUUAUACCUUUCUGGUCCUUAUACGCUCGCCUCAUCGUCUUGGGGGGCGUACCAAAUCACUGGGAGAGGGAGACAUGUUUACAUGUUCUCACUCCCCCAACUAUUUUUCAGUAAUCGGCGGGCAGUAAGUGAGACCGACUGAGACACGUGGCUACUGUGUAUAGAUGCCUACUCCGACCUCGGUUUGUACUAGUUAGUUGUACUUUUAUCUAUUAUUUCUGUGAAUAUACUUAGUCAGUCUAUAUGUUUAAAUUCCAUAUAUGUUAAAAAUUCUAAAUAGACUUUCUGGAUUUUCGUAAAUAAAAGUUCUAUCACUCGAGUACGCGUUUAAAGAUAAAAUAUCGUGUAGGACAUUUUCAAAAGAUUUUCUGGAAUAUUGUUUAAACAUGAAUGUAAAUUGUGAGUAAGGUGAAGUAUGAAUGUAUAGUUUUUCUCAUAUUUCAUUUAGUUUGUUAUCCUCUUGUAACUUUGAAACUUGUGACGCCCGUGCACAAAUAACGGGAACUCUGUCCGUGUGAACAGUGGAUUUUCUGUAUUUGUGGCGGAUCUAGCAUUCUCUGGGGUUAGGUUUUCAAAAAAAAAAAAAAUUAGAUGCUUUCGCAAUACUUUGAAAUCAAAAAGGAACUCCGGAGCGUGACAGUGUGGGACCCAUCGAAGAAAAUAAGAACAUCGUCGGCGAAUUGAAGAGUGAGGAGAUUAACAUCGCCGAUGCCAAUAGAAGGAAGAAGGUUGGAAAAGGCAGCCGCCUGGAGCAUUCUAUAAAGGACAUCCAUACAGAGAAUGAAGAGGAGGGGAGAUAAAGGGUCACCUUGUCGCAGCCCUCUUUUGCAAGAGAAGGACUUGCCCGGAGCUCCAUUUAAAAGCACGGCAGCGGAGGUGGAGCGGAGCAGGUUUGAAAUCCAGCGAGUCCAAAUCUCGCCAAAGCCUCGAGCUAUCAUGAGGUCCAGUAAGAAGUCCCAACUAACAUUGUCGAAUGCACGUUCAAAGUCUAUCUUUAGGAGGGCCGCCUUCUGCUUGGUUGAAUGGAGAUGGUGUGUAAGGACAUAGUCAGAGUAAAAGUUGUCGAGUAAGUGACAACCCUUAAUGAAAGCUGUCUGAUAGGGGUUGAUUAAAAGAUCCAAGAGCGGUUGAAGUCGUGAUGCCAAGACUUUGGAGAUGAUUUUAGCUAAACUGUGAACAAGGCUGAUCGGGCGCAGAUCCUUCGCUGUCGUGGCCUCUCGCUUUUUUGGUAUAGGACAAACCCAACUACCGUUGAUAACGUGCAGGUUCAGGGGCUCAUUGUGGAAGCAGUUAAAAACGUCGAAGAUGUCUAAUUUAAGCGUUUCCCAGAAACGCUGAUAAAAGAGCAGUGGGAAACCGUCCGGGCUAGGGGCUUUUUCCGGAGAGCAAGAGAAAACUGCCAGCUUGACUUCUUCUAAAUCGAACGGUGAACAGAGGCGAGAAAGGUCGAGAGAUUCUCCCCCAUAAAGAGUAGGGAAAUGGAUGGAAGUGCGCUGGGGCAGGUCGACUCCGAGCUGGUUGCGGAAAUAGGUGAAAAGAUGAUUAGCAAUUGAAAUCGGGGAGUUGAAAGAAUCGGUGCCGUCCGCGAGAUGUGAGAUGUAGUUCUUUUUGUAAUCGGUGCUGUCCGCGAGACGGAAUCGGUGCCGAAUGGAGAGUUGUUUUUCUUUUUGUAAUCCUUUUUUUAAAAAAAAUGAUUUUUCCUGUAAUUAAUGUUUGAUAAUAAAAAGCUAUUCAAUAUUUCUGCCUGCGAGAAUUACUAUAAGAAAAAUAAAAUUACAAAUAAGAUAUAUGUUAAUUUGUAAAUAGAUACAUUAUUUAAAAUAUUUCAAAUUAACAAAAAAUAAUUGUUAGAACUGCUAUUUUAAUUGGUUUUUUUAAUUAUAAAAUAAUUAAAAUUAUUAAAGAAGGCACUAUAAAUAAAAUCUAGCAUAGUUGGCUGCCUAUAAAUUAACUACCAAAUAAUAUUAUUUAGUAGCUUUAUUAAUAUUUUUUAAAAAAUAUGUGUUUAUAAAAUACUUUUAAUAAUAACUUAAAAAUUCCAAAUAUAUUAUUUUCUAUAAUGUUAAAAAAUAAAAUAAUUUUUAAUCCCGUGCACUCGCACGGGUCAUUUGCUAGUAUUAUUAUAUAUAUUAUCUCCAUACCACAUAUGUAUCAAUUUAUGAGCCUUCCCAUGGUGAGAUACUUUAAAUUCAAGUGUUGUUCAUAAAAAAUGAAACGCAGUAGAGUAGACCAUUAAUUUCACCAUGGGUAGGAUCCUCUUAAAAUUUCUGUUGCUUACGGAGUAUCAGAAGCUGAUCGAUUGCGACUGGAGCUGGACGGAGUUGUAGAUACUGCUGUACGAACAUCAGAUGCUGCUCCGACACUCGGCUGAGAUGGCGUUUGAACGUCUGGAUAAUACAAUGGAGGCACCGGAUGAUUUGCGAGAUUUCCACCUGCUGCAAUUCGGCAUAACUAGUUAAUGCAAAUUAACAUGUACGGACAAUACUUGAAUGAGAUGCUCCCCAGUGAGGACCGGUGCGAGCUUAAUUUGAGAUCGCACAUGCUCUGAAAUUUGCAUAAAUUGUGAUCCGAUGGCACUGGUAUAUAGGUAUAUUUUAUGAACUGAACGUAGUAUUUAGUAACCGACAUGUUAAAAUCAAAACCUAACUCGAGUUAUAAGGGUGCAUAUAUAAGUGUUUACAAUUAUAAUUUUUACAACCAUUAUCUGGACGUCAAGUAUAUAUGUAUUGCCAAAAAUCGACGACAUGCAGAAAAGAGCAUUGCUUGAUUAAUUAGAAAUAGGCAUCAUGUUUUGAUUAAAUUAAAAGCCUCUGUUGUAGGAUUUUGCUGAAAAAUUAUCUAAAGCUAAUGCAGUGGAAGGUGCGUGUAAAGUGGAAGAUUCAAGCAAAAAUAGGUGAAAAAGAGCCACUGCCUUUGCAAAUUUUAUCAUAACAUGGAGGAGAAAACAAAGAAGAUUCAUGUGAGGAUUCAUAUGAGAUAAUGUACCUUUCUGCUGUUCUUUGACAUCUUGAGCUUGUUUUGCUAUUUUUGUUCCGGCUCUACCAAAAAAAACGGUUUUUUGAUGCAAUUGGUAUUAGUAAAUGAAUAGAAGAGAAUCAACAAAAAAAAAAAAGUAUUGGAUCCUAAAGGUUUAGGAGAACAAUCACACAUAUAUUCAUCCAACCACACGUAUAUCCAAUCCCAUCACAUGGCCCUCAAGACCAUGUGUUCAAGGAACCUUUGUAAAUUAAAUAAGGUAGUUUUUAAGAAUCUUGAGAACUAGGUUGGCGAGAUAUUAGGAACUUAUUGAAAGUCUGGAUGAAUAGGGCUUCGCUCUGAUGAUGAAGAAGAUAAAAACGAAUUGUGGAGAAUGGUAGAAAUUAGAUGAAGAAGAGGGAGAAUCACCCAUUGAGAAGGAAACGAAGAAAUAAGGAAAUAAGAGAACAAGGAACCCAUUUAGGAGUUGUAGUAGUUUUGAUACUAUGUCCACACACACACACACACACAAAACAAUGUACAGCAAUUAAUGCUAUCUGUAAAAACCUACCAAUAGGUGUAAAAACUUACAACUAUUGAGCUUUUGUGGUCUAGCUUUACCAACCUACUCAUCUUAUCACUUUUUUUAUCGCUAAAUUACACAAAACUCUACCGUAAAUAUCUAUUUUUUCACUUUUCUUUUCUGACUCUCAAAAUUUAUAUUUUGCCCGCUUAAAAUUUUAGAAAUAUUUUCAGAAUGAUACGGCAUUAAUAAAGAAGGCAAAAUGACCAAAUUGCUUUUACUUCAUCUAUAAAGAAAAUAUUAUUUUUAAUAUAUUUUUGUCAUUUAAAGAGCAUUUUAAGUAUAAAUUAUAAGAAAUGGAUGAAAUAGUAAUCAAACCCUGAAGGAGGGAGGCUAAAUGCAAGAACUUGAAAUGUUAAGGGAUAAAAUGUAAGUUUUUGAAAGUUAAGGAAGAGAGAAAGUAAAAAAGUAGAUAUUUACAAGAAGAUUUCUGUAAUUUAGCAUUUUUUUCUUUUCCUUACUAAAACACCAAAGGGAUGCAUCAACCCUUCAUUUAAGGGGUGUUAAAUAUAUAUAUGUACACUCCUUAUACGGGUGUAUAGGUAGCAUUUCCAAAAUAUUUACGUUCAAUUGCAUGUUUGGUCUUCACACUUCAUUGAAUGUGAUAUUUUAAUCUUUAAACUUUAAUUUAUUGUAAUUUUCAACUAAAAAUUUUGAACUAUUUUAAUUAAGUUCUACAGUCCAAUUUAAUUCACUCGAUACUGAUGUUCACUGUGAUGAGGUAGGAAUAUGGCAUCUCAACAAUUGUCGUGUCAUUGAUUACAACAUUGCCACAUUUCUACUACAUUAGCGACAUAUUAUUAUUUGGCCAACUAAAUUGGACUAUAAGACUUAAUUGCAAUGAUUUUGAGAGUUUUAGCUAAAAAUCAGUAUAAAUAAAAGUUUGGUGAUCAAAGCCUCACACACCCUCAAAAUUUAGGAUCCUAAAGUGCAAUUUAGCCAAAAAUUUAUGUAAGUCACCCGUCCUUUCUGAAUGAGUAGACUAUAUUUAUGGCAUUACAUGCAAAUAUAUAGUACGAUGUACCCAUGAUAUCAAUAUUUUAUUAUCUCCAUAACAUGUAUCAAUCACGUGUUUGGUUUGCUUCUUUUUCACCUAAAAUCGGAAUCAAAAUGAGUGAAUCAGUUUGUGGGUGUUUGGCACGCAGGAGUCCCAUUCCGAUUCCGAUUGCCGAGUGGAAUGGGAAUCUCCCAAUCACCUCUUUUUUCAAUUCGGCCUAGGAGGCCGGAUUGGAAGUUGAAUCCGGUCGGAAUGGAUAUUUAUUCGGAUUAAAUUUAUUUUUUCAACUUUUUUAAUUAAAAUAUGAGUUAAAAUUUAAAAAUUAAAUAUAUAAUUUUAAAUUUUAAUUUGAACUCAAAUUAAAAAUAAAAAUUUAAUCAAGUAUUUCAAAUCUAACUUAUGAAUUUGAAUUUAAAUUAAAUUUUAAUUUAUAUAAAGUUUUAUUCAAAUUUUAUUUCAAACUUAAAUUAAAAUUUAAAUUGUAAUUUUAAGUUUGAAUUUGAAUAAAUCAAAAUUUAGUUUCAUAUUUUGAAUAAUCCACUCACUUUCAAGUUUAAUUUUUUUUUAAAAAAAAUGGAUUUAAAAUUUUGACAUUAUUACAAAAUUUUAAUAUAAAUUUUUAAUAUUUAAUAUUUAAUUUGAAUUUAAAUUAAUAUAUUAUAAAGAUAAUGUUAGUAUAUUAAUUUGAUUACGUUUUUUAUAUCCACUUGAACCAAACACUGACAAUGAGAAUGAUUUAUUCUGAUUCCGAUUCAGGUGAUGAACUAAACAGAAUUAGGUAAUGAGUCAUUACGAUUCCAAUUCCAGCUUAUUUUGAUUCCGAUUUCGAUUCCGAUUCCAACUCCGACUUUGAACCAAACACGCCCUAAGAGUCUUCCCAUGGUGAGAUAUUCUAAUCAGCAUUCAAGCUAGGUGUUUUAAAUUCAAGUGUUGUUCAUAACAAAUGAAAUGCAUGCAAUAGAGUAACCAUUUCACCAUGGGUAGGCUCCUCUUAAAAUUUUUGUUCCUUAGGGAGCAUCAGAAGCUGACGGAAUGCGAGUGGAGCAGGACGAAUGUGACUGUUGGCCAUCAUGCUAGGUCGAUCCUUCGACAAUCAGUUGAGAUGGUGUUCGGGCUUUUGGAUACGACAAUCGGUAUAGUCUAUUUCUACUUUUAUAAAAUAAAGAUUGAAUAGUAAUACAUGCAAGUGUUUAUCUGUCAAUACACAGUAAUUAAAGGUAAGAGUUUUUCUUCUACUUUUUAGUUUUUUUAAUACAUUUUGUGAUAAUAUUAUAUUAUUUAAAGCUUUAAAUGUUAGUUUUAUAUUGUCUAAUUUAUCUUUUUAAGUUAAGGAGAGUUUUUUUUUUUUUUGAUUAAAACAGGAAUCUACCCUAUUUGAAAAGGUACAAGGACCAAGAGAGGAAAGGGAAGGAAAAGAGGUGGAAGGAGUAUCCGGUAACAAAUAAAAGCCCCAGACACGAAUCGAUCGGCACACAUGGAUAUAGAUAGAGUCAGCGAUCUCAGCACCCUGUCGAAGAAACCCAAAGACGAACCGUGCAAUGUAUUAAUCUUCCCAGAUCUUCGCUCCGUUUGGUCUGAUUUUUGAAAAUUCUUCUAUUUCGCUCUUUCCAUAGCUCCCAGAAUCCUGCUGCAACGCAUGUGUCGAGCAUCUUUCUUGGUUCCGCUGUUAGUAGUUUCCUUGCUCUGCACCAUCGAGCUGCUAUCCCACCUGUUGAGCGGGACAUCAGAUGUUGUGCUGGUGGAACUGAGUGAAGUAGUGAAAUCCACAAGGAGUUGGCAUAGGGGCAGUUUAAUAGAAGAUGCUCGAGAGUUUCCGAAUUCGAGUUGCACAGCACGCAAACAGAUGGCCCGUGCCAACCGCGGUUGGAUAGGACGUCGGCUGUUAGCACCUUCUUUCUCGCUGCAAGCCAUAAGAAUAACUUGACUCUAAGAGGUAUCUUAAGUUUCCACAAGAAGGGAAUUAAGCAACAGUUGAUGCCAUCGUAGAUCAAGAAGUCAUACGCGCUUCGUGCCGAAAAGCUGCCAGUGGAGGUCCAUCGCCAAGACAGCGAAUCCGAAGAGGGUUGAGAAAGAUCAAGAUUGCUAAUCAAAAGGGUAAGCUGACUAAGCUCAACCAGGACUUCGGGCACUUCAGAAAAAUUAAAUCCCAUGUGCUACUGUGAACUGAAGCGUUGGAUCCACAUAUGAACUGAGAGAUGGCUGUGAGUUGAACAUUCAUAGAGGUUUGGGAAGCGGUUCCGUGGGGUUAGGUCCCCGCACUAUCUCGCGUUCCAGAAGGAUGUUAGCUUCCCUUGCCGAGGGAGAAGUUGACAGAUGCGAGGAAAGGUUUUGCGAGCUUGAAUAGAUUUCUCCAAACUGGGCUGGCACCAGGAGGAGCAGAAGCAGAAAGAUCCAGAGCUCGUUGUUUGUAGUGCUUUUGCAUUAUGAGCUGAACCAAUGGCCUGCUAUUAGAGUUGAAGAAGCUCCAAAGACCUUUCAUCAGCAAGGCGGCAUUUGCAGCCUGGAGGUUACGAAUUCCGAUGCCCCCCACCCUCUUAGGUCGACAAACAUGUUCCCAUUUCGCCAGGCAAUGGAAGCCGUUGUUGAGCCGUUUACCCCUCCAGAAGAAGCCACGUCGGGUCUUGUCGAUUGCUUUUAUGACCCAUGCAGAAAGAAGGAAGCUGGAGCAGAAGAAGGCAGGGAUGGAGGUGAUUACCGAAUUGAGGAGUACAAGGCGACCUCCUCUAGAGAGCGUGGCCCCCUUCCAUCCGGCAAGGCGAGAAUCAAUCUUCUCGAGGAGCGGUAGGUAAUCAGCUUUGUGAAGCUGUUUUGGUAAAAGUGGAAGCCCCAGGUAGGUUAAAGGAAAGCAUUGGGUUGGACAGCCAAAACAGUUUGCUAAGCUAGAAGCUUCGGUAAGUAGACAGGUGGAUGGGGAUUAAGGCGCUCUUGCGAUAGUUAAUCUUAAGUCCCGAAAUGUCGGUGAAGGCCUCAAGGAUGAUCUUUAUAGUAGCCGCUGCUGUGUGUGUAAGGACUGAGAUUUUGACAGUGCAACUAAACUCUCUGUUGACGAUGUUUAGGUGUGUAAUUUAAUUACAAAAGCACUCGUUAAGUUUCAGGAGAAACCGAGUUAGAACAGAGAAUUUACGCGAUUAUUAGUUUUCAGUUAAAGUGAAUAGUAACCUGGUUUUUCGGUGAAGCCACGGAGUAGAGUUGGCUUUCGGCGCGUAUCGGACUCCAUUCAUAGCGAUCCAAUAGCUCGUUUCGACCGGUUCAGCUAUUCUGGAACCAAUGGCACUGACGGAUUUUAGAUCUAACGCACGAUUUUUGAGAAAAAGGGAUUUUAUCGAAAAGAGGGUUUUCGCUUUUUGCUGUUCGUGCAUAAUGAGACUCCUCGUGCUCUGUGUAUGUGACCUAGAGUAAGGUGAGGGAUGUUACAUAUACCUACUAGUGGUAGGAGAUUCAAAUUUGAAUUUGAAUCUAGGAUUUAGUGGGAUUAC
rnacentral:lncRNA from 1 species